GUUAACGUACUGGCUGAGGGCAGGGUUCCUCAGAUAUCCACAAAGGCAUGGCUUCUGCUCUCUCAGCUUGGCGCAGCACGUUGCUGACGGCGGCGAAGCUGACAUAAACGCCGACGAACAUGAAGUCAGUUCCGUCGGCGAGCACGUCACUCCCUCCGCCACCGGAAUGUUUGCCACCGUCACCAGGAGAAGCGCUGCGGCGAGAGCUAAACUGGAACCCCACAUCACCUUUACCAUGUUACUUCUUCUUUGUUUCUCUGUCUUUGUGGUUGUUCUUUUUUUUUGAAACACCUUUGUGGUUGUUCUGCUUUUAGUAAUCAGUAUGUUCAAUAUCCAUUGAGAGUGUUUUCUAUUUAUAGAUAAGGAAAGUAAAGGCUUAGCUUUUUUUUUUUCUAUUUACCUUUUUAUCAUUAUUAUAGUUAAAAUUGUUUAUUAAGUAAUCAAACCUAAAUGUGGAGAAUUAGUUAAUUAAUUUCUUGGUUAAUAAACUUCGUUCACUUCAUAGUAAGUGUUAGCUAGCUCAUACUUUAAUCAAAAUUCGUGCAUUGAUGAAACGUGAAUAAAAAGAAACGUUGAGCACUGUUUAGAAAUCUUGUAAUUCAUGUGACAUCGAUCAUCCUUUUUUAUGAGUUCUUUUGAUAUUAUAAUUUUUACUGGAUAUAUAAAGCUCGGUAUGAGUAUGACCGUAUGUGUUAUGUUCUGAGAAAGAAUUUGCAAAAUUCUACACUUUAUGAUAUGGCCACGCGAUUACACGAAUAUAGAAUAUAGAUUCAUUGUUUAGACCCAAUUUAAAUACACGGAAAGAGGAUAUACCGUAUGCUGCACCUCUCAUUGGAAAUUUGCGUGGACCUUACGUACCCCCAAAUUAAUAAUUAAAAAAAGUUGCAAAAUAUGAGUUUCUAUUCUAUACUUACAAGUUCACUCAUUGAGUUUUAAUUAAUCCCUUCUUUUUUUUAUAGAAUUUCUAUUGUCUGUUUAAUUUUAAACAAACAAUUAUAUAUAUAUUUAUAUUUUCACUUGAAAUGAAUUAACCCUCCCACUCCUUCCAAAAGUAUAACUUGUAGGACAAACAUAUUAUUUAUUUAUUUUUUACCAGAAAAAAACAUUAUUUAUUUAAAAUAUAAUGAUGGGUAUGAUUUUGACCCUUUAAUUUACGUCGACAAUGUUCUCUAACUUUUUUUGUCUUCAUAUAUCUGCAUUAUUGUCCUUUGACACAACCCCUUUCAAUUAAAUACACACACGUGGCCUGCAGUUUGUGGUUCACAUAUUAACAUGUCUAUUCCUUCAAAAAACAAAAUUGAAAUCUUUGAUUCUUACAAAAUAUUGAUGAUUGGAAAAAUAGUCCAAAAUGCAAGGUGAGCAUAAUCGACAGAAAAUCACUGAUUCAACUGUUUUAAAUCAAAGCCAGAUGAUUUACAGUUUUAAACCUUCAAUUUUUUAUUUUAUUUUUUAUUUUAGAUGAGAGGUACAUCCCACAGAUAGACCCUCUCCCGAAUAUUCAAAUGCGCCAAAAUACAAUAGUCCAUAUUCAUAUAAGGUAACCAGAAAAAUGCAACUUAAUUUCACAUGACAUGUAGAUCGAACCUUUAAAUGUAAUUACAUCCCAAGACUUUUUCCUCAGUACUUGACCACAACCUUCUCAUUUUGAAAUGAGUGCAAAGCUAUUAUCAUUAUUUAUUACGUUAAUCAACGAAAAAUAGUUUCAGCAAAAAGAAAAAAAAUUGAUACAGUUUAAAAAAAAACUGAUACAGUAAUAUAUUAAAAGGAAGAUAAAUAAACAUUUACAUGUCGGUGAGCUAAAUUUUCAAAAUGAAGUUAGUAAUAUGCAGAAAAAGAGUGCGGUUCAAAAAUGAACAUCACUCUAAAGAUGACUAUCUUUUUUAAUGUAUGUUGUUGGUAGUUUGAUAGUUUCCAGUUGUGUUCAUAAUGAAUAGCAUACACAUAUACAAUUUGAGUGCAUUAACUCAAUAGUUUUCUGUGAAAAGUCAAAAGACUGGUAAUUGUUGUAAGUUGUGUACCAACGGACUAAACUUUACUCUAGUGCCACCUCUUUGUACGAUUUCUUGUAAGUUAAUUUAUUAUUAUACCUUGCGACAAUGUGAAUACCCCACUUUGUACGAUUUCUUGUACUCUACAAAUUUUAUGUCGUUAAAAAAAAAAGUACUCUACGCAUUUUCAUAUAUCUAAAAAUGGGCCCAGAUGCAUUGUUGUAAGCACUAAGAGCAGCAUUAACGCAGGUGCUUAUUGGGGUGCUUAAUGAUUUUUAGAUUAAAAAAAAAAAGGAAAAUGAUGAAAUUAGGGAGGCAGCGGUGCUUAAUUAAGCGCAUGAAGAAGCGCGUUUUAUUGGACACGCGUCGCGAAGUCGUCACUCCACGUUCAUUUCUCUCUCUCUCUCUCUCGCGAAACACAAGUCUUGUGUUUCUCUCUCGACGACUCCGCCGCAUCGUUUUCUCUCAACCGAUCUCCCCGUCUUGAUGAUCUCUCCUCGUCUCCGUGUCUCUCUCAUCGUCUCCCUGUCUCUCUCCUCGACGACUCCGCCGAGGAGUCUUCUCUCAACCCAUCUCCCCGUCUUGAUGAUCUCUCCUCGUCUCCGUGUCUCUCUAAUCGUCUCCCUGUCUCUCUCCUCGACGACUCCGCCGAGGAGUCUUCUCUCAACCCAUCUCUCCUCUUGAUGAUCUCUCCUCGUCUCUCUGUCUCUAUCGUCGACGAAAGCGAGGUUGAUCUCUCCUCGUCUCUCUGUCUCUCUCCUCGAUGAAUCUCUCGGCGUGUCACGGUGUCAAUCCUCUCGAGGAUCGUGGAACAAGCCAUCUAUCUCUCGACGGCUCACCCAGACGAAGAAUCACUUCACACCUCUCUCAGGGCCCGAGCUCUCCUCUACGAAAUCAAAAGCAUGGUAAAGCUUCAACACGAUUUGAUCACUCGUAUGCAUUGAACGUUUGAUAUAAAGCUGUGGUUAUAUGAGUAGGUCGUUUAUAAUUGAGUUGAUUUGUUAAAAAAUUGAAUUGAUAUAAUAUGAACUGAUUGUUUAUGAUCAUUUGGAAUUGAAUCCAAAGAGUAUUAACUGAUCGUGUUCAAUAUUGAGUGUCGUUCUUGUCUGUGUUGAAUAGGUUGUUUAUGAUCAUGUGAUUUGUGUCUCUGUUUUAUGUAGAACAAAUGAUCUGUAACUGAACUGAAUUGAGGGUCAUCAAUGGUUCUGGUCUGAAUUGAUAUAGAGUCUUCAAUUGAGGGUCAUGAAUUUGUUUUGUUGAUAGUAAUUUUUGUUUUCUUUCUGUGUGUAUGUCCGUUGAGUUGCAUGGAUCAAGGUUGCUGAGAGAGAAUCGCCAAAGCUGACGAUUGCAUUUACUCACAAAGAGGUAAAUGUCUUAAUCUUUUAAUGUUUUGGCAAGUGGGCAUUGAUGUUAGUAUUUAAUAGAAGUGAUGUUGAACUGAGAAAAGGUUAGUGUGUGGUUGAGUUAGGUAGUUGAACGACCUGCUUUGUUUUUGUAAUUGAAUUGAUUACGGUUGUGUGUGAAAUGGUAAUUAAUAGAUGUUAGAUAUAUGUCAACUCGAAAUGGGUUUGUGGCUAGUUGUUUUGACUCUUUAAUGGACUCUUUCUUUCUAUCUGUUACUUCUCUCCCCUCUUUAAAUCUCCUUCCUUCUUUCUUCCUCCAACAGAUUCCUAUCUGUUUUUCUCUCUUCAUUCUCUUGCGAAAUGGAUUUUAAUCCAUUCACUCAGCCUUCAAAUUUUGUUGAUCUGCUUAGCAGUCAGCAAAAUGUUAACUUCGGAAACGUAUCAGAUAGCGUGUCACAAUCUGACGAUGAAGCAGUGGCAAAGGAAAGAAGGACUUGGACGCCUUCAGACGAUGUGGUGCUCAUCAGCUCGUGGUUAAACACGAGCAAAGAUCCAGUAAUAGGGAAUGAGCAAAGGUGUAAUGCUUUCUGGAAAAGAAUAGCUGACUACUUCUGUGCUAGUCGAAGGCUUGCUGGCAGUGAGAAGAGAGAGGCUUCUCAUUGCAAGAUUCAGCUGAUGAAGCAUCACGUCGACCCCCGGGAGUUAAGGCCGCGAAGAAAGUGGGCAAAGAAAGUCUGUCUAAGAAGACAUUGGAUGCCGGGAAGGAGCUGGCUCACUUUGACACGAUGUGCAGCCUCAAGCAGCAGGAUUUAGUGGUGAAAGAAAGGGUUUCGAAGAUGAAGGUACUGGACAGUCUCAUUGCUAAACAAGACCCUCUUGCGGAUUAUGAAGAAGCUUUGAAGAAGAAACUCGUUCUUGAGUUAAUGUCAAAUUAGUUUAACUGGUUUCGGUUUGUCUUCUAACUCUUGUUCUUGUUCUUGUUCUGUGUUGUUCUGUAUCUUGUUGCUUAAGGUUCUACUAUGAUUGAGUGUAACUUGUUGCAUAAGUUUUUGUUAUGUGUUCUAAUGUUGCUCUCGUUUUUGUUGUCAGGUGAACGAAUGGAGGAGCUAUGUUCUGUUGGAGCAACAAGCUUCUGAUGUCUUUUGUUUGCUUCUAUCACGGACCACUCUUGUUUGCUUCUAUCACGGACCAUUCGAGUCUUUUCUUUGCUUCUAUCACGGACCUGAAGUCUUUUGUUUUGUUGUGCAUUGUCUUUUGUAUCACGGACCUUUUGUCUUUUGUUUCACGAGACUUGUACUAACUCUCUGUAGCAAAUCAUGUCUACCAUUAUAUAAAGUAUGCAAGCUUCAGUCUUUCUUUGUACCAAAACAUUUUCUUUCCUUCUCAUAGUUUCAUCGUUUCAACAAUUCCCUUCUCGUCUUUGAUCAAAGUCACCAAACUUUCUCGUAUAAACAAUAAAGAUCAUCUUUGAUUGAAAUCACCCUUUGAUCAAAGUCACCAAGUCUUUGAUAAUACCUCUCUUUCUUCACCCUUUCACUUCCGAUUGUUUAAAAAAAACAAACGGACAAAACACUCUCAACCUCACCCUUUCUACUCAUCUUUUCUUUUCAAUCACAAAAAAAUGGCCUCUUCUUCUAAUCAAAACAAUUUAAAUGAUUCAAUUGAUGAAACAUUUGAUGAAGCAUUUGAUCAAAUGUUCGAUCAAUAUUUAGAGCAAACAUUUGAGAGACUGACCAUCCAUAAUGAUCAAGAAGAACGAAGGAAAAAAAAAAGAGUUUAUAUCGAACGAAAUCGUGAAGAAGGCAAUGUCCGUUUAUGGAAUGAUUAUUUCAGUGAUACGCCAACGUAUCCUGAAAAAUAUUUCCGACGACGUUUUAGAAUGAACAAGCCAUUGUUCUUGCGUAUUGUUGAUCGACUCUCGAACGAAGUUGACUUCUUUCGCCAAAAGAGAGAUGGUCUAGGAAGGCUUGGUCUCUCAGCACUCCAAAAGUGUACAGCAGCUAUCCGUGUCUUGGCAUAUGGCACUGCGGCGGAUGCGGUCGACGAAUAUCUCCGGCUCGGUGAAACGACAACUCGGUCAUGUGUGGAGUAUUUUGUGGAGGGAAUAAUUUAUUUGUUCGGAGAAGAAUACCUACGAAGACCAACACCGGCUGAUCUUCAACGUCUACUUGAUAUUGGAGAGUAUCUUGGAUUCCCCGGCAUGAUAGGGAGCAUCGAUUGUAUGCAUUGGGAAUGGAAGAAUUGUCCCACCGCUUGGAAAGGGCAAUAUUCUCGUGGUUCGGGCAAACCAACAAUCGUAUUAGAGGCGGUUGCUUCAUAUGAUCUCUGGAUAUGGCAUGCGUUUUUCGGACCUCCAGGUACGUUAAAUGAUAUCAAUGUUCUUGAUCGCUCACCUGUUUUUGACGACAUAAUAAAUGGUCAAGCUCCCCAAGUGACUUACUUUGUGAAUGGAAGAGAGUAUCACUUGGCUUACUAUCUCACCGAUGGUAUUUAUCCGAAAUGGGCAUCUUUUAUCCAAUCUAUUUCACUACCACAAGGGCCGAAAGCAGUGUUAUUUGCGCAACGCCAAGAAACUGUCCGAAAGGAUGUCGAGCGUGCUUUUGGAGUCUUGCAAGCUCGCUUUGCCAUCGUUAAAAAUCCUGCACUUUUUUGGGAUAAAGUCAAAAUUGGUAAAAUUAUGAGGGCAUGUAUCAUACUCCAUAAUAUGAUCGUAGAAGAUGAGCGAGAUCGAUACACUCAAUUUGAACUUUCCGAGUUCCAACUACGAGAAGACAAUGGAAGUUCACAUGUCGAUCUCACGUAUUCUACAGAUAUCCCUACAAAUAUCGCCAAUAUGAUGGGUGUUCGAACUAGAAUUCGUGAUCGACAAAUGCAUGAACAACUGAAAAGUGAUUUGGUUGAACAUGUUUGGCGUAAAUCUGGAGGUGAUGAAAACAACCAAUGAGCUCACAUGUGAUUUUCAAAUUAAUCUCGUUUAUUGUUCUAAUCUUUAUUUUGAUAUUUUUUUUUAAAAUCUAUGUUUAAAAUAUUAUCCUUUAAUAUGUUUUAUGUAAUAAAUAAAUUUUAUCUAAAAAAAUUAAUAUUUAAUAUUUUAAGCACUCCAUAAUAAGCACUUUGCAUUGCAGGAUCAAAAUAUACAAGUUGCUUAAUGAAACUCUUAAAUCCUACUUAAUAAUAAAAAAAUGAUUAAGCACCCCAUUAGGGGUGCUGUGGUUAAUGCUGCUCUAAGAGCACGUCUAAUGGUUAGAGCUUUUGAUGGGUUCUAAUGAUUAGUUUAAUGGUUAAUUGUGUACUUUAUGAAAUUUAGAAUUCUUGUUAAUGUAGUUAGUUUUGUCAAAGUUCAAUGAGAGAACCCCUUUGAGAUUCUUAACUUUUUUUUUUCAGAAAUUGAACUAUUAAAUUUAAAUUUUACAAAACUUAUAAAUUAUUGGAUUUCAUAAAAUUUAAACAAAUAUGACAUAAGAACAUAUUAAAAAUACAAAUACAAAUUUAUAAUUAAAAAUUUUAAACAACCAUGAAAAAAAAACAUGAGAAUAGGUUCAUAUGCACAAUAUACAAAACACAUGAGACCCAAAGACAAUGUCGAACAACAACAAGGUUAACGUUGGUGAGACUUACUUGAUGAGAAUAGGUUCAUAUGUAGUAACUAAGACACCUGUUUCAACUCCCUUAAGAUGAAUAUUCGCCAGACGAAUAUUCGCCACAUAUACCUGCCAAAAGAAAUCAUCAUAUUAUUAGAACAUUUGAAUAAAAAAAGGAAACACCUUUAAGAACAGAACAAGGAGAUUAACCGAGUUACCCUCAAUAGGUUUUGUGCUUCUCUUCCCUGUCUUCCUUUGGAUAUAGCCUGCAACCAUUGUUGUUAGACAAUAGAGAACAAAGAGGUAACAAAAGAUGGGAGUGAGUGAAUGAAAUUACCAGCUCUCCUAUAGCAGUUGAGGCAACGGAAGGGAUGUUUCUAUAAGACAAACCAGGCACAUCAAUGACAUUUGAUUGCUCCACAAGCUUUAUGUACAACUCCACAAGCUUUAUGUCUUCGCUCCACCUGCAAAAACAUAACAUGGCUCACAUGUUACAUGUUUAUGUAAACCAAUCAAAGGUAACACAAAAACAGAACAUGGCAUAGAGGAUCAACAUUUUUCGAUCAUGGCAUAGAGAUGUGAAUCUAAGACAAAAAGAGAAACCAAAUCUAACACACAAAGAGAAACCAAAUGAUACGACCACGAAGAGACUAGCAACACACAGAUUAUUGGUUCCGUAGUUGUUUCAGCAAGAAUCAUUUUAAGAACAGAGAUAAAUUAUAGGAUUUAACAACAAUAAACCAACAAAACCAAGUAUUUUCAGUGUCAAUCAAAAUCAAAGAAGCAAUUCAACUGAGAAACAUGUAUCUCCAGUGUAAAUAUCACUAAACCAAUAUCUGAUUCGCUUAAAACAUGAGAUUCUAGAUCAAGAGUGAUGUCAAGGGAAGUAACAACCAUCUCAAAAUAUUUGUUCCUAACAUCAAUAACUAUCCUAAAACGAUCUAGAAACUGAAUUUUCCAUUUGACAUCUUCUCCACUGAUACAUAUUCUAAGCUUCGAGUUCACUAAAUAGAUAGCCAAAUGCAUAUAAGAACAUGAUGAUAAUAUUUACCUGCACAAUAUCCAUUGAACCAUGAUCAAGCGUAGAUGAGGGAUGAGAUAAGUAUGGUCCAUGGUAGAGCAGUAAGCCCUAGCACAGUUAUGCAGAUACGCAUGGCUUCUCUCUCUUUCCCUCAGCCUUUGAUAGCUCUCUUCAACCUCUUCAUCUUCAAACCUUAGCAGCUAAAACGAUAAUGUAUACUUAAGAUUCAUUCUAAUGACAUGACAGAAUCUACUCUAUUAAAAGGGAAGCAGUCUUGAAAAAUCUACUUAUACAAAGUUACUGCACCUUUUCAUUUAACUAAUAGUAUAUUGGUCUACCUAUUAUUUCGCCUACUAUCUAUGUUACUAUAUAUUACUCUAACCAUAAUUUAUUCUCUUUUAGUCCAUAUAAAGUUGCAUAUGUUUUAGUCUAUAUAUAUAAAAUCAUAUGUGUUUUACAAACGGACCUAUAUAUUAAUGUUUCAAAUUGGCUUAUAGUUUUCAAUUUCAGAUUGGACCUAUAUUAUUAAUGUUUCAAACAGACCUAUAUAACAAACGGAUCUUAUACGUGUUUUAUAAACACUCUUAUAUAUUAAUGUUUUAUAAUGCAGAAUGCUGCCAUGUGAAAAAAAAAGAAGAGAAGAUGUAUAUAUGAAAAUGCCGUGGUUGGUAUAACUUAUAGUACACGAAAAUAAAAAAUACUUCUUCAAUAUAUCGAUCUCAUUCAUAUUACAACCAUGAUAGUAUUAUUGAGUUAGAACACUAUAACAUUGACAUGAUUAAACCAUCUUAUUCAUCUCAAAAUCUAAUAUACAAACUAUCUAUACCACCUUAUUUGUACCACUUUAUUCAUCUCAAAAUCUAAUAUACAAGCUAUCUAUACCAAACCAAACCAUUUUAGCGCAUACUUGGUAUGAUUCAAACAGUCUUAUAGCGUUGGUAUAACUAAAAAAUUGACAAAAAUUCAAAUUUUAAACUCUGCUAUGUUAUUGCCUAAAGUGUUACCAACUAUCUAAAAAAAUCAAUUUAAAUGUAUUGUGUAAAUCUUUUUGUUAACAAUAUAUUGUAGAUACGAUAUUUAAUAACAAAAUCCGGAAAUAUUUAUUGUAGUUUCAAUAUAUUUAAUAACAAAAUCCGGAAAUAUUUAUAUUGCUUCGUCUACAAGUUUUAUUUAAUAUCACAAUUAGUUAUUAUUUUCCUUAUACUUAAAAAUUUUCGCUAACCUACUUUAAUUGGAUUAGCAUUAUUUCCUAGAAAUUAAAAAAAUAUUCUAAUUACCAUAUACUCGCAUAAUUUUCCUUACUCCGCAAAGUAACAUAUUUUAUCAAAUCUUUAAAAUACUGUGACCUUCAUUUGCGUAACUCAUGAUAACAUAUAAAUCAUAAUAACUUUAAAGUCUAUAUAAAUACAAAAUAAUAAUCUAUGUAAAUUUUGGUUUUCGCCUGAAAAAAAUCUGCGCUUUUUAAGCGCGGGUCAAAAUCUAAUCAAUACUAUUAAAAAGAAAUGAGUCCUAAAAAAAUCUACCUAUGAAAGUUGUUUAGACCAUUUCACUAGACUUUAAUAUUUUUUGGUCUUACCUUAUAUUUCUCUGACAAUAAAAGGUAACAUGACAUACAUGUUAAAUUGGCUGGGCUUUACAUGGUCAACAUAUAAAUGAACACAAUUUUGCUCUCGGGACUAAACCAAAAUCAGCAUAAACCAUUUGCGUGUUCAAUAUUUAUUUGUGGUUCACAAUUUGGCCCACAUAUUUAAACAAACAUAUACUAACCAAAUUAAUUUAAUUGAUAUGUAAUGUAAGUAUGAACUAUUUUUUUCAUAAUUUAUUUUCUAUAGUAAAGUUAUAUGUUUGCAUACUUUAAAAACCAACGUUCACCCAAAAAUAAAUUAAGAAUUAGCUACUAACAGUUACAAUAAAUAUGAAAAUUUGACAAUCGCAUAUUUAGACAAAUUUAUAUGUAGCAUGUUCAUUUUCGACUUCUUAAUGUAUAGUUUAUAUGUGCCUUAGUUAGUAUAUAUUUAAUUAGACAUUCGUUCCUCCAAAAUGUAUUUUAAAAGUUUAUUUGAUUUGUUAAUUUUCUUUAGCAUAUUUUGUUGGAUUCUGUUUAAUAAUUAAAAUGAUAGUUUAUAUGAAAUCUAAACAAAAUAAACUUGAUGAAGAAGUCAAAAAAAUAUCCCUAUAAACUAGCAACUUUCCAAAGUAUAGGAAAGUAUGUAUUAUAAUUCAAACAAGAUCAAUCAUAUUUUAUUGUUUCCAAAUCUAAUGAAACUAUACAUAACAAAUACAAAAAUAUAAAUUAACAAAGAAUUUUUUGUUAUUUUUGAAAAUGAUGCUUAUCAUUUACCCUAACUUAAAAUGCAUUCUGCAACUAAUCAACUUAAACCCUUUGCCAUGAUUUUGUUUCUACAUUUGUAGCACACGUUUUCAAAAAAAUAUAUUAGAAAACGACUUAUUCUUAGGUCCACCCCCUAGGGUGAACCUCUAGGUUCACCAACCAAUAGGAUUGUUUUAUUUUAUAUUCGAUAUCUUUUAAAAAAGGAAACAAAAUAUUGUCAAAUUAUAUUAUGUUUUUAAAAUUUAAAAGUAAAAAAAAAUAGUAAUAAUUACAAAAAAAAAUAUUUUAUGUCGUCAGCAUAACAUUAAACCCUAAACCCUAAAUUCUAAUCCCUAAACCCUUAAUCCUAAACCCUAAACCCUUGGAUAAACCCUAAACUCUAGGAUAAAUCCAAAACUCUAAAUCAAAAUCACUAUACACUAAAACAUUCAAGCGUUUAGGGUUUAGGGUUUUAGUGUUUUUUAUUUAGAGUUUAGGAUUUAUCCAAGGGUUUAGGGUUUACCCAAGGGUUUAGGAUUUACCCAAGGGUUUAGGAUUUACCCAAGGGUUUAGGGUUUAUCCAAGGGUUUAGGGUUUAGGAUUUAGGGUUUAGGGAUUAGGAUUUAGGGUUUAGUGUUUUGUUGAGAAUAUUAAAAUAUAUUUUUUUUUAAUUCUUUUUUCUGUAACUAUUAUCUUUUUUUAUUUUAAAAACAUAAUAUAAUUUGAGAAUAUUUUGUUUCCUUUUUUAAAAGAUAUCGAAUUUGAAAUAAUGAAAUUCUAUUGGUUGGUGAACCUAUAAGUUCACCCUAGGGAGUGAACCCAAGAAUGACUCUUAGAAAACCAUGCAUGUUGUCAAAAAAUCCCCCCAUAAUUUUGCUAUAUUCAAAUAUACAUGUAAGAUAGAUAUAAUAAGAAUAUAUGUAUCAAUACAAUUCACAUAUAAAAUAUUAAUUAGAGGCCAUAUUUAUAAGUUUGAUCACCAACAUAUAAUAAUUGUACUUAUAAAAUGUUAUAUUAAGAUCUGAUUAUAUGAUGACUGAAUAAAUUAGGAAAUAAUCCUUAAUUAGUAAAAUAAAUAGUUAUUAAAUUUAUGGUUAACAAAUAUUUCAAUUAUUUAUUAUAUAGGUUCCCGUUUUACUGUUUAUGUUCUACGGUUGAAGUUUGUUUGGGUACUUUUAUCAAACAUGUAACUUAUUUAUAAAGUACAGAACAAAGGAAACAUAUUAGGCUAUUAGCCCACUCUAUUACAAAAUAUAAAAAUAUGUUCUAAUUAAAGUGAGACGGGUUUGAUUACAAAUCAUUAAAAAUAAAAUUAAACUAUUAUAAAAUAUGUUAAAUAAAUAAAUUUUAUCUAAUAUUUAUAUUCUUAAAAUUAAUUAAAAAUCAAUCCCGCACUUUAAAGCGCGGGUCAAAAUCUAGUCUCUGAUUAAAAUCUCAAGCAAUCAAUCACACUUACUUCAGCAUGGUGUUGUUCAUGGCGAGUAGAUUCGAGAUCGUUUGAACUGUGGAUCUGAGACAAAAAAAAAACCAUCGACGAAGGAAGAGAGAGAGAGACGACCAAUACACAGAGGGCACGUACCCCUUAGUUAGACACUGGUUCUCUUGAUUUUUCCUUUUUUUCAUUUUUUUUAAGAACCACCUCUAAAAGCCUCCGUUGGAGGUGGUCUAAGAUCAUCACUCCUGAUGAUUGGUGAGUCGUGUAACGAUUAUCAAUCAUUAUUAUUUCUUACUGUUAUGUUUGAGAUUCUAAGGAUCAGCCGCUUGAAGCUUUGUUGCUAUUUCUAUUGUUUUCCACCUUUUCGAUGUUGCGGUGCUCAAGUUAGGGAAAAUAGCCAAUUUUGACCUGUACAAUUUCGGUCUUGGUUUUUAGACCAAAAAGUAAGUGCAAAUUCAUACUUGAACUCUAUAACUAUUUAAACUAGGGGCAUAGCUCAUGUGCAAGCGCGGAGUUGGGUACGUUGUUGAUGAAUUGUGUAGUUUUGUGUACGGGAUUUUGUCGUUUUUUUUGUUUACAUUUGUUUUUUCUGGCUUAACUAUAAUGGCGAUGAAUGAAACAUUGGAAGUCACACAGUUUGAUUAGGUUGAUAUAAGAAUAACAGGCGAAUUCAUAUAUGUACAUAUUUUCAUAUCUUAUCUUCGUUAUGAUUUUAUCGACCAUUAGCGUUAUUAGCGCUUUUAUGUUCAAAAGCUGGGGUUUAUGGGGUUGGUUAGUAGUGUCUAAUGAGUUAGUUGUUAGUAUAUUAUUCUUAAAUAAUGUAAGGAAAAUGAAAUAAAAUCUGAUUUUAAGAAUUUUGCAAAUUAUACCAAAAAUAAUUUAAUGGAGACAAGACAAAAAAAAAUCUAAUCUAUUAAAAUAGAGUCUUAUUUUUAUCUACUGUUUGAAGAUUGUCAUUUAAAUUUGGACCUAUUCAUCUCUUUUAUUAAAACAAAAAUAUUAUGUUGUACCUAACAUCUAUUUGUGUGUGAUAUAUAUAUAUAUAUAUAAAUAUAUAUAUUAAUAUAUAAAUUAUAAUCUACCUAAUGAAAUCUAACUAAAUCAUAUAUUUGAUUUUUCUCCCACACACGAUUGGUUUGAAAAAAUGGGUAAUGGUUUGGCAAAUGACAUGCAUUCGUAUCACUUCAAAUAUUAACUUAGUUUAUUACUUUCAUAAUGUGUUGCAAAUAAAAAUAAAUUUCACAAAAAUACAUGUACAUUUUAUUUAAAUAUUUAAUAAAUAUCAACUAUAUUUCAUAUUACUUCAGAAUUUCUAAUAUAACUGAAAAACUUACUUCAAAUUUUCUAAACAUGUAAUCAACAAUAUAUAUAAAAUGUGUCUUUUCAUAGCAUAUUAAACAAAUUAACCAAAUUAUAAGAACUUAUUCAAAAAUUACAACACAUCAAAUAUUUUAUACAAGAUUAUGAUCAAAAGAGAUAACACUAAAUAUAUUUUUACGAACAAUUUAAGUUUUAUGAAUAAAAUCCCGCCCGUUCAGGCGGGUCCGGAUCUAGUACGUGUUUAUUAGUGUAAUUUUAAUUCUAAAACUAUGUUGUGUAUAUAUUGUGUUAGUUGAAAUGUAUAUGAUAUUCAGGGUCGAACGGAAUGGUUAGGGAUAAAUAUUUAUUAGUGAGGAAAGAUAUGUUUUUAUUUUGUUUGAUGUUUAUAACUGAAGUUGAAAAUAGUACUGAAAUGAUAUUGGAGGUUAAAACAUGAUAACCUCCUUAUUAAUAGUAUCUAAGAUGGACUCAUAGAUUACUUUCCCUACACAGUUGACAACUUAUAUUUGUACGAAGCCAUUAAUCAAUUCAAAGAAAAUAAAAAUUACGGCCGCAUGUACAAGAGCAAAUAUUGUUUACAUAGUUGCAAUUCUCGAAGAAGAUAGUGCAUAUAUCAUUUUCCUCUUUUGUAGUUGGAGGCCUAUUAGUUCCCUCUUGGUCCGUGAUGAUUAGAUCGACGUCAAGUCUUACAGUAGCGUUUUGAUUGUAGUCUCUGAUGGUUAGAGUAACUUGAAGAUCAUUAGCUAAGAUAUUGUCCUUCUCUCUUAGUAAAAUCAUCACAAAUGGGUUAGUCUCUUGAAUAAGGAAUGUUGAGUCGGGGUGAUGAAUCUCAUGAUAAGUUAACAUGAAUUCCAUGCUCUCAGUCGUAGAGUCAUUAAAAUUACCUUGAUUGUCAAUGAUAGAUUGUAGCUGGAAAUCGAUGAUGACAGAUUGUUGUGUGUUGGCCAUGACUCUUGGGGCUGACAAGCUCGUUUUUAGGAAGAAUGAAGUUUACUUGGGUAAGGGUAUGUUAAGGAUGGAGUGGUCAAGAUGAAUGUAAUGACAAUCCUUCUGAAAGUAUAGCUCCAAAAGUUUCAAUGAAUAAGAAGAAGCCAUAUGCUUAUUUGAUUAAGUCUUUUAAUAUAUGGCAUGAAUUCUUAGGCCAUCUGAACUACAACUAGAUACAAAGAUUAAUGAAUCUAAAUAUACUCCCAAAAUACAAAACAAGUAUUGAAAAUGUGAAAUAUGUGUGCAUGGUAAGCUCACAAAACGCCAUCACCUUGAAAGAACCAAUGAACCUCUAGGUAUAAUUCAUACUGAUUAACCUGAUUUAAAAUACACACAAACUAAAGUUGGGAAAACAUACUUUGUGAUCUUCAAAGAUAACUGCACAAAAUAUUGUUAUGUAAAUUAAUUACGUAGCAAAUAUGAAAACUUAGAUAUAUUCAAGGAAUUUAAGCUCGAGGUUGAAAAUCAGGUUAAAACAACUAUAAAGAUAGUUAGAAGCAAAAGAGGAGGUGGUAUGAUGGUCAUUUCGAUGAAUUAUGUAAAGAACAUGGAAUUGUCCAUCAAACUACAACUCCUUAUUCACUAGAAUGUAAUGGAGUUUCUAAAUGCAAAAAAUGAACUUUAAAAGAGAUGAUGAAUGCAAUGUUGUAGGAAUCUUGGUUACCCUAGUACAUGUGGGGGGGGGGGGGGGCAAUUGAUUCUUACCACUAAUUAUAUCCUGAACAAAAUGUCACAAAAGUUACCAUAUGGAUUAUGGAAAGGUAAUUUACCUUUGUAUAAAUACCUUAAAGUGUGGGGGUGCUUGGCAAAAUUUAUUGUACCGCCAUCUAAGAAGGUCACUAUUAGACCUAAAAAAAUGGAUUCCAUCUUGAUUGGGUAUGCACAUAACAUAAAUCUGAAAUAUCCUGCAUUCAUACAAUCAUCAAAUCAUGCAUCUUUAUUCGAAAAUAUUUUCCGUGCAAGGCAAUUUUUUUUUGAAAAAAACUAGAGAAGAAAGUGACGACGACAAUGUCUCAGAAAUUGAAAAAAAAAACGUCAAUCUUUUGAUAUUUCAGAAAAUUAAACAUAAGAUGAACUUAGAAGGCGCAAAAGAGCUCGAAAAAAAAUUCUUUUGGUGAAGAUCUUUUUGAUGGUAAUUUUAGUAAAAAAUGAUCCACGAACUUUGGCAGAAACCAUGUUUUGGAAUGAAGCAGUCAAAAAUAAAUUCAAUAUUAUUAUGCAAACUUAUACAUGGUAUGUAACUGAUUUACCACCAGGAUGAAAAACAUUAGGGAUUAGAAGAAUUUUCAAACAAAAACUGAACUCUGAUGGAACAAUUGGUAAAUACAAAGCUAUGCUUGUAAUUUAAGGAUUCUGACAAAAAGUUGACCCAUAAUAUUUUGACACUUAUUCUCCGGUAAAGAGAAUAACAUCAAUAAGGCUGAUGAUAGAACAUUAAUAAAUCUAGAAAUGCAUAAAAUGUAUGUAAAAGCCGCCUUUCUAAAUGGUGAUUUAAAAGAUGAGAUUUACAUGAAACAACCUUAGGGUUUUGUCAUUUCUGACUUGUAAAGUCAUUUUAUGUGCUCAAACAAGCUCCUAAACAAAAACACAAAAGAAUGACAACACAAUGAUGUGAAAUUGUUUCAAAAUUAAUGAAUGCGAGAAAUGCAUAUACUAUAAAAUACCAAAAUGAGUAGGUUUGCUAUGAUUAUAUGUUGAUGAUAUGCUCGUAGUUGGAAACAAUAAAGACAUAAUUAAUAAAAUAAAGGAAAUGCUCAAAGGAAAAUUUGACAUAAAAGAUAUGGGAUAAGUAGAUGUUUAUUCUCGGAAUUAAAAUCACAAAAAAUCAAGCGAAAUUAUCAUAUCCCAAUCCUAUUAUGCUCAACGAUACUAUCAGAGAUUUAAAAUUGCUCUAAUGGCAUGAAAAAGUCCCGUUAGAUCCUGAAAUUCAAUUGACAUAAAUCAGGAGAAGCGGUACCACAAAAUGAGUAAAUAUGUGUGAUUGGGAGUCUAAUGUACUAGAAUAAUUGUACUAGACCAGAUUUAGCGCACACACUAAACGUUAUGAGUCGAUAUUCAAGUAAUCCAGGUCAUAAACACUAGAAAGCUAUAACGAGAAUACUCAAUUACUUGCGCUAUAAUAAAAUUUAUGGGAUGCACUAUGGUAAAGAACCUGCACUUUUAGAAGGAUACAAUUAUGCUAAUUGGAUAUCAAAUUCUAAAAACUCAAAACUCACAAGUGCAUAUGUUUUUACACUAGGAAGGGCAGCAAUAUCGUGAAAUUUUACCAAAAAACAGUGUUACUAAGAUCCACCAUGGAAUCUGAGUUCAUAGCCCAAAAUAAAAGAGCUGAAUGGAUUAGAAACUGUUUGGAAGAUAUUCCUAUGUAGGAAAAAUCUAUGCCAGAUAUACAAAUAUAUUGUAAUAGUCAAUCGUUUAAAGCUUUGGCUCAGAAUAAUCUCUACAAUGAUGAAUCUCUCGUCACAUCAUAAGACGACAUAAAACCAUUAGAAAAAUUAUUUUUAAACAUUAAUGGUGUAAUCACAAUAUAGUACAUCAAAUCAGCUAACAACCUAGUGGGUCUAUUUGCUAAAACUUUCCACAAGAUGUUGUUGUUAAAUUAUCAAAAUGAAUGGGUUUAAAACCUAUGACAAAUGAGGAUGCUUCACGGCAACCCUACCUAUCAUGACUAGAGAUCCCAAGGUUCAAAGGGAAACAAAAUAAAAAAGAAUCUACUGAGAGCACUUAGAGACCACAAACAUGCUAUUAAAUGUGAGAAGGAUAAGCGUUAGCUUUUAAUGAUUUCAUAGCUUAUAAAGUAGAGUAUUACUCAAUACUUUUUAUAGUCAAUCACCUAAUGAACGUGAAAUGGAGCGUUUCUAAGAGAAUUAAUGCUAUAUUUUUAAAGUUCACUCAUGAAAACCAUGAAUAGUUCAUGACCACAAUGAACACAAUAGAACUAAUUUUACGAGAAAAUGAAGUUGUGGCAUGUUGUCUCGGUCUACAUAAAACACUGGGUGCUUUAAGGCAUCAUGUUCACCUCUUGCUAAAGUAAACCCGACAUAUGUUAAAUGAGUGGUUCAAGACUUAAAAAUGUCACCAACUCAAACACAUUGAUUUUUUUUUCAGACACUCUCGAUAAGCAUGUUUGUCUAGUUAGGAUUAGUAUGAGUUUAUCAACUAUAGUAUAUCAUGCUUUCAUAUGUUUAGAUUCAUUUCUAUUCAUGUAGGAAAUUGUUGGAAUACUGUUUUUGACAUAUGAGUUUUUCACUUUUCCGUCCAAACCGGUGGCCAACGUGAUCAGAUUAUCAGGUCAUGGUGAAGCUUGUAAUAUGUACUACAAUCUGGUAUAGUCAAACGUCAAAAACAGAUUUGAUUUGAAUGAGAAAUGAUGCAAAUAAGUUGGUAUCUUAGUGUGACUUGAAACACUAAGAAAAUUUGUUUGAAGUGACAAAAACCAUUUGUCCCACAUCGGCCACAACAUACAUGAGUGAGUUGUAUAAAUAUGUCUACACUCCUAUCAUUGUUCAAAUGCUCACAGGGUGGCUGAGGUUGGCUCCUCAUGCGCGUGCUGCCGUCAUAUGGGUGGCUCGGCUCGGCGUUGGGGUGAGCUUGGGUCUUGGUGAAGGCCACAUGCUGAGUAAGAUUUUUUUGGACCAAAUUACUUUCAUCUUUUUGGCCCAUUUAGAAUAAAACAUCAUGCAAUUCGUUUCUAAACGACAUGUAGUCCAUCCCAAAACAACACAAAUUUCAUUUGUUCGGCCAAUAUAUUUUUGAAUGAGAAGAGAGGAUAUUGGAGAAGAAUUUUUGAAACGCCAACCUCCCAAAUUUUUUGCAUGAUCUCCUCCACAUACAACAACUGUUAGAGGAAGUGGCUCACCUCAUUCUCUCUAAAUAAACUCGACUAUUCUCAAUCAGUCGUUACUUUCCCUUCGAAAAACCAACAAAAAUCUUCCAAUGUAAGUCGAGAGUGUUUCGUAGUUUUUUUAGUUCGCAUAAAUAUUAACUAGUGAUGCGUGAAUUGUCUUUCAUGGUUUUAUCCUAUGAGUCGUUAUUUGCUAUGGGAUGUCUUACUACAGAGAAAAUAUCAAGAGUUAAGGAAAAACAUGAUAUCUCAGCUCAGUGUGAUCUUUACAAAAAGGUUUUCAUACCGUCUCGUUUUCUUGUCCAGGUCCUUACCGUCUCUUUGUAUCUUAUCGUUUAUUUCAAUUUGAUUUUCCGGCUUCCUACACUAUCUAUACAAAAUUACACUUUUUGAUUAUUGUUAACACUUUAUGUCAUCAGUAUUUCUUUAUAUUUAUUUAUUCAAAAAAAUUGUUGGAAAUGGAUUUGACACCAAUUCGGCGAGUAGAUGAGCUGUAACCAAAACUAGUUGUGCCAAAUAUUUUGCGCUGGGAAAAGGCUUGUCUUCACCACGAACCCAUUAUAACCCAUCGAGCUGUUAGCUGAGAAUUGCUGAGUUAACGUCGAAGAUUCAAUUAACGAAGAACAAAUCAAGAAAGUUCAUUUCAGUUUUCAAAUAAGCAGAAAUCCAGUGAAGUAUGUAUAGUGAGAUUUGUGAGAUAUCCUAAGGAGAUGUCGAGCUGUUUAAGCAAUCAGGGAGGAUCAAAAACAGGACAUUUUCGAGUUUUUCAAAAUCUUAUAACCUAACCACAUCAUUUGCCUAGGAGCAAUUUAUUAUAAGUUUAGUUUAUUAACUCGAAUUUGAUUUUGUUGUUUGUUCAAUCCAGAUUCCUUUCAAUUUUUUUUUCUUUUCUCAAAUCAUCGUUUAAAUACUUGUUUUGAGUUUUAGAAUUUAUAACAGAAAAAGGCACAAGAUCUUAACUUUAUUCCUUACUCGUUAAUCAAACACAACUUUUGUUUUUUUUGAGCAAACCAAACACAACUUUUUUGUUUUUUUUUUGAGCAAAACAAACACAACUUUAUUCCUUGAAGAUAACUUUAUCCCUCACACAGUAAUAAUAUAUACUAAUACAUAUUUGGUAUAUCACAACAAAACUUUUGAACUCCAUAUUAUCAUAAUAGUAUAGACUUUAAUCGCAAGACUUUCCAUUAACUCAUCAUUAAGAAGUCAACUCUAGCGUUUGCGUCUGCGUUAAUGAUGAUUAAAGUCGCAGAUUAGAAAAGAGAGCAUGAGGAAAGUUUGUGAAUAUAUGAAAGUCAACAAAAAAUUCUUAUAAUCGGCCGUUUCGUUUUGAGCAAUUAUGUGCUUUGCAAUUCACAUCAUCUGAAUCAAUAUCCGAAAACGAUGAAUAAUCUGCGGCUUUAACCUUCCUACUAUAGCUUCUGCCACAGCUGGUGCAGCGGCUUAACUGGCCUCUAGCCUUUAGGAUGGCUCGCCAUCCGAUUGUACAAGGCUGCUUGAUGCAGCACCACAGAACGCAAAGAGGACAAUAUACACAUAAGCAGCAAACGUUAAAAGCGACUUCUGACGGACCAGUUGAAGCUGCGUUUGCGUCUGUGACUACGAUUUGAGACUUUGUAGGCGAAACGGUGAUCUGAUUCCUUGCCCGAUUCUCUUCUUCUAUUUCUCUUUGGAGUAGCGUUUUGCGGUCGUUCAUCGCGUUCUCGAAGAAGAAAAAACUCAAAGAUUAUUGAUGGUUUUGAUGAAUGAUUUCUUUUUGUCGACGAUGAAUGAUUUCUUAAUGACCACGAUUUUCAUUUUUAUAAAUUUUUAUAAUUAUUUUAUACUUUCUUCUGUCGUUUUACAAACUAUUUAAAAUUGCUGACGGCUUUACGUGGACCUUUGGGUAUUAUCCCAAUAUUGAUAUACCUUUUUGAAUUAUUCAAAGCCACUCGAAUAAAAAUACAUAGAUCUAAAUAGUAUCAGCUGAAUUUGGCUGUACGAAAUUAUGGAAUAUGAGUAAGUAAUUAAAAAUUCUUCGUAACAGAAGAAUCUAACGUAAUAUAGCUGCUGAAUAACUUGAAGAAUUAGUGAGCUAUGUAAUCUCCUAUAUAUUAAUUCUGGAGCAUUACAAUAUGUUUUCGUAGCCACAAAAAUAAUUCUUAAAAUUGUUAAAAAAAUAAGUUAGUCCAUAUAGAUAUUAAAAUAAUAUUAUUUUUAUGAUUUAUUUUUAAAAAAUUGAAUUUUUUUACUUGAAAUUUCAUAAAACCAUGUUUUAAUAUCAAACUGGAUCAUCGGUUUUAGCAAAUUUCAUGGUUUUUAACCGUUUUUUACCAGAUUUAUCGGUUUAACUCAAAUUCGAUUCUAGCACAAUCCGGAACCGGUUAGAAGUGCAAGUCACAGUCUGGCCGGUCCGGCCAGUUCAGUUUUCAAAACACUGCUAUUGUUUUAUAUCAUUGUGUUCAAAUUUAUUUUUUAUGCACAAAAACUAUCAACUUUUUAUGUUCAUACAAAAAUGAUAUACAAGAUAUGAUAUCAUAUUUAACCUGUUUAGCAAAAUAUAAAGUCUUCCACAUGUACAAAAUUUAUCAUUACCAAAAAUAUUUAACAUAUUUAAAAAACAUAAAAAUUUGUAAACAAAUUCAUGUCCUGAUUUUGCAAAACUUCAAAAUUUUAAUGUUUCAAAUAAUCAUGUUGUAUCCUAUAAAAAUAAUUAACACUAUUCAAGUUUUGUCAAAAUAAUCAGUCAAAACAUAUCCGCGUUUUUAAAGCGUGGGUCAAAAUCUAGAUUAUUAUUUGAUUACUAAAUAAAAUUAUAACUAUACUUUGUUAUUUAAAAAAUUAAUAACUGUUUAGGAAUAAAGUGUAAAAUUAAUGUGUGAAAUCGCUAUGGUACAAGUGUAUAGUAAUGCAACAUCACAAAUUCAAUGCAAUUGCCAAAACCUCUUACGAAUAAUUAAAAAAAUAUUUUACACAAAUAUUAUUAUAAAGAAAAACAUAAAUAUGAUUAUUACAAAAAAAACAUUAAUAUUAAAAUCAAACUUUUAAAAAAUAUAAAACAAAACAUAUACCCGCCCUUUUAUAAUCUAGUUUAACGUUUAAAUUUAAACCAUCAAGAAUAUUCAAGAACGAGAUGAACGACCACAAAAGUCUACUUCAAGGAGGAAUGGAAGAAGAAAAUCCAGCAAGAAAACCAUCUCAGCUUCGCCUACAAGGUCUCAAAUUGUAGUCACAAACGCAAACGUAGCUUUAACUGAUCCGUCCGAAGUCGCGUUUAACGUUUGCUGCUUAUGCGUCUAUUGUCCUCUUUGCAUUCUAUGGUGCUGCAUCAAACUGCCUUUUUUUUGUUUUGCUAAGAAUGGUAAUUUCAUUAAAGAUAAAAGGUUUUUCUACAGAGAGAUGAACCUAAACAAGACAUACCCUGACAAAAAAGAAAGUGAAAAAACAGGGUAUCAAUCAACCAAGCGUAGAAUAACUCCAAGAACAGACUCAUGGAGAGAUUAGGAAAAUAGAUAAUGGAUCAUAACUUCAUAUGAGCCAAAGUGCCAUAAGGGAGCUGAAUUUUCUUCGCUUCCUUGCUGCAUAGAUAGAAACAAUGAUGUGUCUAUUAAUUCCUUUGAAAGCCACCAAUGGAGGGAGCAGGGUCUGGUUGUGAAGCAUAUUAUUUCUCUGUUGCCAGUGUGUGUAAGUGAGGGCUUGAACCACCAUCAUACGCAGGACUGAUGGCGUCAAGGAAGUGGACGAUGAAGCCCACUGGAUGAGGUGCGACCAGUUUGAGAAUGGUGGUACCAGGUCUCUGAUCCUACGAUUAAUUUCAGUCCAUAAGACCCCAGCAUAAGGGCAAGAGAGCAUCAAGUGGUCCCUGGUUUCCUGUUGUGUCGAGCAGAUGCAGCAGUCUGUUUGGAUCUGUAAACCCCAAGAAGCUAGGCGGCAUCUUGUAGGUAACCUGUUCAGAUUUGUAACCCAUAAAUGGAAAGCAUGCUUAGGUGUAGCUCCACUGAACCAUAUGUGUUUUGCAAUGGCCUGGGUUGGAGCUCUAGGUCUCAGCACUUCCCAUGUCCUUGAAGAAGAGAAAACCGGGUGCGAUUGUCCCUCUGUUGACCAACUAAAGAUGUCGGGACCUCUGUCUAGUGAUGGUGUAGGAAAGGUGGUGAGAAAGGAGUGAAGUGCAACUUCCGUAUCUGAUCUUGGAUGCGGCAGCCUCCAUCCUUGCUCACUGUAAGCAUCAGCCACGGAUGCAUCUAUAUGAAUCCUUAGGUUGCGGGUGCCAGUCCUACCGAAGAUUUGGAUUAGAGGCACAAGGGGGGGUCCAGUUAUCGUACCAGAAACUUGUACUGCAUCCAUUGUGUAAGAAAUCUUGAUAUCAAGUCUCUAAGCCGAUGUAUGCAUCGCCAAUUCCAGGACAUAAGCGGUGAUUCCGAUUGUGACCAGAAGCUAUAGGAGGUAGGGCAGUUGUGGUGACGAUGCCAAGCAACCCAGAGGGCGAGCCAUCCUAAAGACUGCACGCCCCUUACACGGCUGCAGCGGCUGCGGCAGAAGCUUGAGCAUGAGGAUCAAGGAUGCUGAUUAUUCGUCAUUUCUGGAUAUUGAUUUAGAUGAAGUGAAAUACAAAGCUCAUAGUCGCUUGAAACUAAAUGGCUGAUGCCAAACGCUUGAGUUGAGUUUAAUGACGAAUUUGUGAAAAGCCUCGCGACUAAAUUCUAGAUUAUUUGAUCAUUUUGAGUUUGAACUUGAAGACGUUGUGAUAUACCAACAAUUUUCUCUGUUAAAAGAGAAGUACCAUUUUUAUCUACCAUAAAAAAAUCACAAUAGCCUUAUUAGGUCCAUUUCAUUUAUUACAUUUAUUUAAUUAUUUACAUUAAUCUAUUAAAUAUAUAAAGAUAUUAAUAAUAAAUCAAUUUUAACUGUAAGUUUAAAUUUGAUUUUUAGUUAUAACAAAAUGUUGAGAAAAAAUCUAACCAAAUCUUUCUAAAAAUUUAAAAUAUUUUAUUUAAAUUAAUACCAUUGAUUAAUUUCGUAAUUAAUAAUAUAUACUAUUAUACAUUAAUUUAAAUAAUAUUAUUAUAAAACAAAAUAAAAUAAAAGUGUAUGCUAUUUUUCAAAUUUUAUAAUUAUAUUCUAUAUCUUAUUUAUUAAAAGAAAUACCAUAAAAAUUUAUACUAGGUCUUUUUCAUCAAUUACAUCUAUUUGAUUGCUUAAGUUAAUCUAUUUAAUAUAUAACAUUUCUAAAAAAUCUUAUAAAUUAUAUAGAUAUUAAUAAAUAAAUUUUAACUGUAUAGUUAAAUUUUAUUUUUACUUAUAACAAAAUAUGUAGGAAAAAAAUAUAACAAAGUCUUAAUAAAAUUUUAAAAUAUUUUUAAAUUAAUGCAGCGAUGGAUUUCUUAAUUAAUAAUAUACUAUUAUUAUAAUCUAUUUACUUAUAAAAACUCACAAUGUACUAAAAUAAAUAACAUAGAAAUAUAAAUUAUGCUAAGAAAAUAUCAGUUCUAUAGUAUAACUAAAUAAAAUUUUAAAAUAUAUUGUAUUCAGUCUGUAAAAAUUAGAAAAAAAUGAAUAUGAGUCAGCUUAGCACGUAGUGCUCGGCAUCAACCGUCUUUCGUUAUACACAUGGAUGCAGAGUUUCCAAGUUGGUUCACAGAGUCAAUAUGAGUCUGUGCAUUGUUUGCUGAUAAAAAAAAAAUUAGAAAAAAAUGAAGGUGAUUUUCAAUUUAUUUAUUUCAUACUAUGAAUUUAUUUUACCAAACUCGAAAAUAUAUUAAUAUAUAAUAACAAUUAAUAAUAAAGUUAAAUGUAUAAAACAAAUCAUUAUACAUUAAUAAUAUCGAAUAAUAAACAAAACCAAUAAUAUUAUAGAUUUACACAAUAUAUAACACUAAAAUUUAAAUUAUAUCUUUGAAAGUUUUGCGAUGAUAUCUGUUAUAUAUUUAUAAAAUGAAAAUCUAUCCGUACGGAUGUGCGGGUGAAAAUCUAGUGUAUUGUAUAGUAUUAGUUGGUAUUUCGAGUUUCAAAAUAAUGUUGUGGUGGUGUAAAGAUAUACAUAUACUAUUAAAGUAGGAUUUUAUCUAAUUUUAACUCCUAAAAUAACCUUUUACUAGAUUUUGACCCGUGCAACCGCACGGGUAUUUGUUUUCACUUUUCUAUACAUAAAUUAUUGUUUUAGAACAUAAGUGGUAUGUUACAAAAAAAAAAAAAAAGAACAUAAGUGGUAUAUAUUUUUAAUGUUAAUCAUAUACAUAAAUAUUUAUAUAACUAUUUCAAAUACAAUAAUUUUAUAAUUUACAUGUUAUAAUUAAUUAAUUGUCUAAACCUUAUGUAUUUACCACUUAUUAUUAUAUAUUUAUCUUAUUGUAUUUGCAUUUAGUUAUUAAGCAAAUAAAUAUAUUCAUGAGAAAAUAUAUUUAAAAAAUAUUUUGUAUUUAAUUUAUGCUAAAUUCUGACCCGUAUUUCAAAACUGGAUUUUUUUUUACCAAUAUUUUUAUGCUUAUUCAUUUUAGAUAAUUUAUUAUUGUAUAGUUUGUUAAUUUUAAGCCGUUCUAUCAUCAUAUUAUAUUUUAAAUAAAUAUUUUAUAUUUAUGAAAAUAAAAUUUAUAAAUUUAUCAAUUGAAUAUAAUUUUAUCAUAUUUAUUUUAGUAUAAUAAUUAUAUUUUAACGUGAUCAUGACUAUAAUUUAUUUAUUUUUAUUUCUAAACGAUAACUUAAAAUACAUUAAGUUAUUGUUUAAAUAUUACACAGAUUUAUUAGAAUUUUUAAAAUACAAUAUAUAAAUAUAUAUUAUAUUUAAAAUGAAAAUAUAUUAUGAUUAAAGUAGUUACAAAGAUUUUAUAUUAUUAACUUUAAAGAAAUACAUGUAUUAUAUAGUUUGAUAAUGUUAACACAUCUUACCAACAUAUUAGAUUUUAUUUUUGAACAUAAAUAUUUUAUAAUUACGAAAAUAAAAUAUAUAAAUAUGUAAAUUUAAUACAAUUUUAUUAUAUUUAGCUCAAUAUAAUAAUUUUAAUUUAAUAUGAUUGAUUAUGAUUAUAUAAUAACUAAAAUGUUAUAGUUUUUUUUAUUUUUCAUUUUAUAUAAUUGAAUAUAUUAAUGUAUAAUAAUAUUUUAAACUAAUUUCGAAAUUAGUGAAAAUAUUUAAAUAUAAUUUCGAAAAUGAAGAUCUUGUAAAAAUCUUUUUAAACAGAUUUGUUAGAAUUUUAAAAUAAAUAUAUUUAUAUUUAAAAUGAAAAGAUAUCAAAAGAUACUAUGAUUAAAAUAUUUUAAAAAUUAUAUUUAUUAUUAGUCUGAAUUAAAAUAUAGUAUGAAUUUCUAUGAAUAGGUCCAUUAGGUCUAUUUUAAAAAAAAUCAGACAUGAAUCAAGGUUGUGACUUCUGUUUUAAUAUAUAAGAUUUACAUCUUAUGUCACUGAUUUUUCAAAGCAAUCGGUAGAUUCAUUAAGGGUGCUUAGGUCAAUUAACUAUCUAACGAUUUAGUUCUAUUAUUUUCCAUUUGACUUAGUUUGGGCUCGGUUAAACUAUCAUACUACAUGCCCACGUUUCCUAACCGUAUUUCUAUGUUGAUAUUUUAAUAUGUCUUCAAUCACAAUUAUAUUUUUUUUGGUCCAAAUCAAACAACCACAAUAACCAAUCUAAACCGGGUAUAAUUUCAUUGUCAUCAUACGAAUCAUACACAUGUCAAAGCAUAGGAAAGCAACAAUAUUACAAUUUUGAUACAUAAGUGAAAACUAUUAAAACUUACUGAGUGCUAAUCCAAAAAAAGAUGAAUCUAAACCACAAAGUACAAUACCUAAACCCUAACAAUAAAUUUUAUUUUUUCUUUCAAAUAAUAUUAACGAAUUUAGAAUGGUUGCAAAAUGUUGUUUUGAAAAAUAUUUUGAAGAAAUUCGAUUCUUGUGGUAUAUUCCAAAAUCUGUUAGUUUAUUUUACAAUCUGAUAUUAUCUUUUAAAAUUAACUUUUUUUUAAAAUGAGAUUCUAAUUUUUUUUCGAUUCCUAUGGUAUAUUCCAAAAUUUUGGAAUAGUUAUUUUACAAGCCGAUAUUAUCUUUAUAAAAUGAGGUGCUAUUUUUUUAAAAUAUCAUUUUAUACUUACUAGAUUUUUUAACCACGCUAUGCGCGGAUAAGAUAUUAUAUAUAUUUCUCAAUUCUAAAAAAAUAAUGUAUAAUAUUGUAUUACAUUAUUUAAAGAAUAUAAAAUAAGACUGCAUAAAAUAAAUAUAUUUUUAAAAUUUUCUUUGUGGAAAUCAUUAUGUUGUUUGAUUGUUGUACUUGAUUCACAUAUUUGCAUAGUUAUUUGUGAUAGAUGCAUAACUAUAUUUUUAUUAUGAGUAAUUAAUAUAUAUUUAUUAUAUAAUAUAAGAAAAAUAAAGUUAUUUACUUUUAAAACAAACUUGUCUCAUGUUGGGGAUUCGGUUAUAGACACAUCAUAUUCGAAUGAGACAUUUUUACAGUUAUCAAUCUUCUUAACAGUCAAGAAAUAAAUCUGAAUAUCAAAACAAUAUUUCAUACUAUCUCUUUUUGGAAUAACGGCUCUGAAAAAAUUGAAUUUAGGCAUAAAAAAGACUUGAAAUGGAUGUGCAAAUGUGUUAUCUAAGUCAGCUUUACAAAAUACUAUUCAUAUUUCAUAUAUCAUUUAUGUCCAUCCUAUUUUUUUGUCCAUCAUUUCUUAAACAUCUUGAAAUAACUGAUGCUAAUUAAUAAUAAACUUUUGGCUAACAAAAAAUUAAAUUUGUCUAAUUAUAGCUUAAAUAUUUUAUCAAUAUUCUCUAAGAAGCUUUCAAUUGAUAUCAUAGUUUAAUUUUUAUUAGUUUUUUUUGUUAAUUUUAGAGUUUUUUUUAUUUAAGAUUUUUUUUCCAUAUUUAAGAUUUUUUCACAUAAUAUAUAUAUGUCAUAAAAAUUACCAUCAAAUCAGUUUUACUUGUUUAUUAUUUUGUUUUUAAUGAAAAUACAUUUUUUAAUAAUUUAAUUUAAAAUAAAAUUAUAUAUUAAUUUGUUGUAUUCUAACAAUUUAAUUUAUUUAAUUAAUUUGUUUUGGUGGAUAACUUAAAAAGUUUUCAUAUGAAUCGGAGAAAGCAAGCUUAUGUUGUUAUAUUAUAUUUAUUUGUGUAUAUGAAAUCUAUAUAUAAUGCUAGUGUAAUAAAGAAAGAACAUUAUUUUUUUUGUAACUUCAAAAAGAUACAUUAUUACAAUUUGAAAUUAAUCAAAAUUGAAUAAAAUGGUAAUUAAAUAAAUCUAAUUGUUUUUUAUCUUGUUUAGUUGGAUUCUCAUGAAAAGAAAUCGAUAGGUUAAAAAAAUGUUUCAAAAUUUGUUGUGUUAUUGUUUUGUCUAUAAAUUACAAAAUUUAUUGAAUUGAUAUAUUUAAUUAUUGCACCGUUAAAUAAUAUUUUAUUAAGACAUUAGAGAACUAUGUUUUGAGUUGUUUUGUCAAAAUUGUACAAAAAUCUAUGAUUUUUCAUAUUUGUCACGAAAAUUUAUAUGUUAAACUUACUCUUACAAAAUUCUUAACUUUGUCACGAAAACAAAAAUCUAUACUUUUUCAUAUUUCUCAUUGUUCUCACAUUUUCAAAGAAUAUAUUAGCUUACUCACUUACUUAUUUAUUUUUACAAAAUAAAGUAUCGGAGUCUUGAAAGUUGAAUCUAUAUUAUUGUAAAUGCACAUAAGAGUUUGUGAUUAGAUAUUUAGUGAUUCUUGUAUAUGUGUUCAAAAAAGUUUCAAUGGCUUAGUGGUAUAUGCCUUAGAUUUAUAUCGUACUAAUCCGGGUUCGAUCAUUUCCUUUGAAUUAUUUUUUUAUUUUUUACGAAAAAAUAAAUGAGAUGACGUGGCAAGUUCAGACUCUCUGAUUGGACAAUUUUUUGUGCUUACGUGGACACUCUAAGAAGAGCUUAUAUCUCCCUUUUAGUAUAGUAUAGAUAUUAUCAUUUAAAAAAAAGUGAAUGGUCAUAAACCACACAUUCAGGCCGAGUAUCAUAUUUUUUGUAUUUGCACAUUUUUUUUCUUUGGGUUAUUGGGCCAAUUUCAAAUCUUUUUUAUAUAAAAAAAUAAAACCCACAUUAAACAUGAUUAAACACAUGAUUAUUAGAUUUUCUUCUUCUAAAUAUAAUUUAAACUUUCAUAAAAUAUUGGAAUAUAUAUAAUGAAAGACGUAAAUCUUUAUUAAAAUUGUAGUAUAAUAGUUUAUUAAAAAUUUCAAAUUGUAAAUAAAAUAACUUUAAAUAAAAUCACGACAUGAUAAAAUUUAUCGAUUAGAGAAAUUCCACUUUAAAUCCUUUCAAAAAAAUAAGUAAAAUGUUCUAAACAUAGAUACUUAUUGAUAAAAUAAUAAUAAAAGUGUGAUAAUUUAUGUUUGCUAUAAAAUAAAAUACAAAUAUAUGAAAAUGUUACUUUAAAAAUUAUUUUGUCAGUUUUAAAAAAAUAAUUUAAAAGGAAAACAAAUCCGCGCUUUAAAAGCGCGGGUCAAAAUCUAAUUUUCUAUAUAUUAUUUGAGAAGCAUUGCAACAUUUUUUUGUAGCCACGUGUCAUCAUUAAAAUGAUUCUUAGAAUCCUUAGAGAAAUAGGUUGGUCAAUCUAAUUAUAUAAUAAUCUUUUUAUUAAACCAUAAUAAAUAUAUUAUUAAUGUGCUUCAUUAUUUCCUUAAAUAAGAUUACGAAAUUGUCUAAUGUGGCUAAAAUAUAUAUGACAAUUAAUGAUUUUGAAUAAUAAAGAUUUGAUAAAAAUAAGUGUGUAUUAUAAUUAUAUUUGUUUAAUUUUAAGCUAUUAAAAUAAAUUAAACAAUAAUAGUAACCAUAUAAUAAAAAUUAAAAAAAUUAUUUAUAUAUUAUAUUUUGAAUUUUUAAAAACGAGUAUAAAUUACUAAAACUGUUAAAAGUUUCACAUUCAAAUUUUGUGAUCUAUGAUUUAAAACUGUUGUUAUGACAUUGUACAAAUAAUUAAAAUGUAAUAUAAGUUGAAAGUCUCAUUUAAGAAGUAUCAAAAAUAAAAGAUAUAAAUAUAUGUCUAAUUUUAAAUUAAACUAUUUGCCAUAUAAAAAUACAUAAAUAUCUUAAUUUUGAAAUUUACUUUGACAUUUUUUGAUAAAAAAUUUGAAAAAAUAUUGACAACUUAAAAUUUUAAAAUAUUAUAAAUUACUUAAACCAUUAAUCACACAGUAAAAAAAUUGUUAUCACUAAUUUAGACUUUUUGCUAUAAUAGAUACAUAUGAUAAAAAAAGAGUAUGAGCAAAAAGCAUUAUCUAAUAAAUAUUAAUAUCAAAAUAUACUAUAUAUAUGUUACUAUCAUUUAAAUUUAAUUAUAUAUCAUGUCAAAUAGAAAAAAAUAUUUUUUCUAUUUAUAAAAUUUUAUUUAUAUGUUCGCACCAAUUUAAUUAUAUAAGUAGUAGAUAAUAACUUUUUAAUUAUUUAAUAUAUAUUUAUUAUUUCAUAAUAUGUUAUAAACAUAUUAUAUAUAAAAUAAUUUAUACAUAUAAUGUUCAUCCCGCACAAGGCGCGGGUCUUAACCUAGUAUACAUUAAUUGAGAAUCAUUAUAACAUUUUUUUGUAACCACGUGUCAUCAUUAAGAUGAUAUUCCUAUAGAAUAAUCGAUCAACACUGGUCAAUAGACAAACCUAGAAAGCGAAAGCCUAAUGGUUUGUAAUUAAGUGUUGAGCUCUAUAAUAUCAUGCAUACAACUUAUUAGGCAUCCGUACGAUUAUAAUCCUGAUUACCUGAAUCAAAACCCUAAGUCUAGCUAUUUCUAUUUAAGUACCAAAACUCCAAUCAAUCAAUCGAGCAAUCACUUGCUCACAAACCUGCAACUUUACAUUUAAAUCGUUAAACAACCUAGCUUAACUAAUCUGAUUAGAUUUAGUAGGUUCCCUAGCUCUCUGUGGAGUCGAUCCCUAAGUACUACAACUGAGCCUCUUAUUUGAGAGAGUAAUUCACUCCUUAGGGUAAUUUGAAUAAUAUCAAAUUUGGCGCCUUUGCCUGGGAGCUUUGAUCGCCUUAUAGAUCUAAUCUUGUUUAGUCUAGAUUUCUUCUUAAAACCACUUUCUGACACAAAAAAAAUUUCUUGUCUUUUCAGGUACAAGCCCAGCAGUACCAGAAGCAAUAAGGAAACUCAACUGCUAUUCUCAUCAGAUCCUGCAAGCUUGGAACGUUCAUCCGCAAAGGAAUACGUUCAUCGAUCGACAACAACACUUGUUCGUCGCUCGAUUUUUGUCAGCCACUGUCGAUCCAGACACCAGUCUCAUCGACCGACACUCGCUCACCACCAUCGACCGAAGACACUCUUCUUCCGUCGAUCGACAUCUUCAAUCCGACGUCGAUCGAUACUUCAGUCCGAACAUAGUUCGAUACUGAGCCGCAAGACAUGGUUGUGACCUUGAUACUUGUACGUGAUGAGAAGGGAGACCUGCAUGACUAUGAAGGUCAUCUGCUUAAUGCAGCAUGUCAAAGGAUAUAUGCUCAGGGGGCUGAAAUCCCUGAGUCUUAUACUGAUACUACAAGCAUUACUCUACCUGUGGAUGAGGCUGCUCGACCCAGAACAUUGGCUGAUUACAACCGUCCAUAUCAGUUCUACACCAAUAGAUCAGUAAUUUGUCAUCCAACUAUUAAGAGGGGGAAUUUCGAGUUGAAGCCGCAGUACUACACACUUGUGGGACAUACACCCUACUAUGGGUUAUCUGUCGAGCACCUUAUGGACCAUCUGGAGAGGUUCGAGGAUCUUAUAUUUGCUAUUAAAGUUGAGGGAGUCUCUGAAGAUUACCUCCUAUGCAAGCUCUUCAAGUACUCACUUGCUGGAGAUGCUUCGCAUUGGCUUAAGCAGUUACCACCAGGAUCUCUCACAUUCUGGAGCGACAUAAGGAAUGCAUUCCUAUGCAACUUCUUUUAUAAGGCGCGUGCUGAAGACUUGAGGAGCAAGACCGCCACAUUCACUCAGGAGCCUGUAAAAUCAUUCAGAAGCUCCUGGAUCAGAUUCAAGUCUUAUCAGAGAGAUUGUCCACACCAUGGAUUCAAUGAAGUACAACUACUCAGUACUUUCUACAGAGGCGUCGCAGUGCAAUAUCAGAUGGCUAUUGAUGCUUCCAGCAAUGAGAAAUUCAACAGCAGGAAUUCAGAAGAGGCUGUGAGAGUUUUUGAAAACUUAGCAUCCAGCAGCAGCACCAAGAACACUGACUUUGAGAGGAAGAGAUCCGCAACCAUUCUUGGGAAUGAUCAGAUGGAUAAAGUGAAGGCAAAGCUUGACAGUGUUGACAAGCUUCUCAGGAGGCAGGUAUGCUUAGUUGAGGAUGCAUAGGCUGUAGACACAAAGGGUAGAGUAGAGGUAAAAGAAGAUGUGAACUUCAGUAGUGGAACUGGAUUUCAGAGGUCUAGAAUGGAAACUUCUAUGGACAGAAAAGUAAUUUAACCAGAGUUCGCAGCAUCAGAAAUCCUACAUCAACAUAUGGAGACUUCUACUACCAGAAGACACACCCACCUACUCAAGAGAACAAGAUUGAUGAGACAGUUGAUAGGGUUCUUAAGGGACAGGAGUGCAUGACGGUGGACUUCAAUGGGAAGAUUGACCAUGUCUACACAAACCUGAACACAAAGUUUGAGACUUUGAGCACUCAUGUGAAAAAGCUGGAGAUGAAGGUCGUUCAGAUAGGAGAAGCUGUUAAGAGGCAAGAAGCCUUAACAAGAGGGGUAGGGGCUGAUGUGACAAAGCACCACGUGAAUGCCAUCAUAGAUGAUGAUUUCUGGCAAGUGGUGAAGCAGGAGAAGCUGCAAGCAGGAGAUUUCGAAGUAGAAAGCUCGAUGAGUUUCGGCGGAUUGCAUUGGUGUCGAUCGACGCCGGACUUCAAACAUCGAUUGACAUACUUUGAUCAAAACCUAUCGACAGGCUCUCCAGAGCAUCGAUCGAUGACACCUACGGAGUCAACCGCAUCUUGCAAUGCCGUGAGGAUCCUGACUCCCAAGGAGUUCGCAGCAAGACACCCACAUCCACCCAGCCCUGUUUAUGUCAAAAUCGAUCGACAUUCCAAUACUACCGACGAUCGACAGAAAGAAAACGCCAUCAAUAGACAACCUCCAGUGCCCAUCGAUCGACGAUCACCUCUUACAUAACAAGUACAGAUGCCAAAGAUAGACGUUGCACAUCUCAAUGCACUCAGGACACAACCCAAACCUUCAGAUAACCCACCAGAGGCCACCAGUACACAUUAGGAUGAUACAACAGUUCCUAUGGAAGUUGAUAAGGUUCCUAUGUGAAGAAACCUGAGGAAAAGAAAGGAAAAAGUGGCAAAACAUCUGAAGAGGGGAGCUAAUGAGAAGAAAAUGGAAAGUUUCCAAAAGAGAGUCUUUAAGAUUCCUCUAGAAAAGCCAUUCGAGGAGGCUUAUUUUACCAACAUAUUGUGGAUGUUCUUCAGAGAAACCAAAGAAACUGAAGAGGAUAUUAGGAGAAGGUUCUGUGAAGCUAGAGAAAAGAUAAAGAAUAGGAUUACACUGAAGAAGAAGAGUGAUCCUGGGAAGUUUGUAAUACCAUGCACGGUGAAUGGUAUUGAAUUCCCACAUGCACUGUGUGACACAUGAACAUCAGUCAGCAUCCUACCUAGGGUUAUGGCAGACCAUCUGGGUCUGAAGGUGGAGCCUUCCAAGGACUCAUUCACUUUUCUGGAUUGUUCUCAGAGAAGCUCAGGAGGAAUCAUAAGAGACCUAGAGGUGCAGAUUGGUAAUGCCCUAGUUCCAGUUGAUUUCCAUGUCUUGGAUAUCAAGCUAAACUAGAACUUAUCUCUAUUACUUGGGAGAGCCUUCUUGUCAACAGUAGGAGCAGUGUGCAACAUGGAGCAAAAUAAGCUUAUUCCAAAGUGUUCAAUCUUAAACUUGAGAUCAUUUUGGCCUUAUCGUAGUCCAAAUAUAUUCCAUAACCAGCUAACUCUCAAGAUUCUAAGGGAUUGCCAAUUAUGUGAUUAGAAAUCCGAAAGUAAGUGAACAAAUGCUCCUCCUCCGUGGAAAUGGACUAGCAUGCAGACAACUGACUAGCUCUUCACAGAAUAUAAAUGUACAAGAAUAUUUACAAUAGCAACGCGAUUAUGUAAACACUCCGAGUUGCAUAACUCACCCAUAAGGGUACAUAACUCCCUUCUAGUAGGUCGUUGGUGAUCCGGAGUGAACAGCGAGGACACUGAACACUUCCAACAAAUGGUCUUAUCCGUCGUAACAUAACAAAAGCAAUGUAAACAAAUGUCUCAGUAAGUUGUGCAAGAAAAAGGAACAGAUGGAUACUGAAGCAUGACCGGCCAGGAAUCACCGCAUAUUGCAUAGGAAGCGCAAAUGAAGCGAGCUUACAAUUCGCACGUCUGCCAUCUAUAAUAUGUACCCUGAUGGAAAAUGACUAUUCCUAUGAUUAUAAUACUCAAAAGUAGAAAAGAUCACCAGAGAGAGGUAUUGGUUCUAUUUUACUCCUACGAUUAUAAUAUCAUCGACGUCGAUUUACUAUUGGUUCUAUUUUAUUUCAUAACUUAUUGAGAUUUCUUCAUUGUCUCAGGUACCUGAAUUUCUUUCAGUCAUAUUUAAUGUCUCUUCUGGAGAUUAUUCAAAACUAUAUUGCCUCGUUUUGACCAUUAUCAAUAUAUACUCUUUUUCAUUUACGAGGAUUUUUUCUUUGAAACCAAUAUGUCUACCACGCUGAAGGCGUGACGAGCAGUUUGAUAUUGUUCUUGUAGAACAUAUAUUCUUAUUGGAGCAUUUACAGCUGAUAUAUGUGACUUGAUCACUAUAUUUAUUUGGGUCAGCAAAUUUGUCUGGCAACUGAUUUACUAAGCACUAUAAUUGAAUUUAUCUUUUGGACUCUAUUUGACAUUUUCUUUAGUCCGAUGAUCAAUGAUAACUCAUAUCAACUUAUCUUAUUUUCCUGCUGUUUAUUUUCUUUCCCUUAUGUUGGAAAUACUAAUUCACUUUUAGAAUUCAUAUAGAACCUUACUUAUAGCCUUCGGGGUUGGCUUUAGAUACUUAAGUAUCAACCGAGAUUUAUAUCCAACAUAUAUUUUCAACCUUAUAAACAUAUCUUAACUAAGCUCUGUGGUGGAGCAACUGAAAUAUAUAUUGCACAUCCAAAAUUCUUAGAUGGAAAAUGGUUGGUUUCUGACCCAAUAUUAAUGAUGGGGAGAACUAGUGAUUACUUGUUGUUUUAAUGCGAAUUAGUGUUGUUCAAAAUGUUUAACACUUAUCCCAAUGAAUUUUCUGUAAUCAUCAAAGACUUAAGACCUAAAUUCACUAAGAUUAUAAAGAUGAAUAGUGGGUGAUCAGUCCACAAACAUCUCUUUUUUUCGUACUAAUAACUUCCUUUGGCUGGUAAAACCUUAUAACCAUUUUAUCUUGUGAGCAAGCAACAUUUGUUUUGUCAACUGUGAGCAAGCAACAUAUGUCCAAUCAUUCGGAAGAAUCUUCAGGAUCUUCAAUGACUAUUUAUAUAAAUUCAAAUAUUUUUUGCAUCAUUAUUGAACCAAAAUGGUCUAAAUAGUUCAUGCCAAAUAUUUUGUAAACUUCUGGUUUACUAUAUAUUUAUCUCCAUUACAUUAAUCUUUGUGUAAUACAAUUUAUAGGAGGAUGUGGGCAUUUUCUUAACUAUACUCUUACUGCCUUGAGAAAUAUUUCUGAUGUGAAAUGAAUAUUACAUUUCUUUCACUUAGUGUCUCAACAUAUGAGUCUCAAAAUCCCACAGAUUUACUUUGAGAAUGAUUCAUCAAUCUUAGUUUUAGUGCAAACAUAAUCUUCUGGUUGUUUUACUUAUCAUAAAACGUGAGAUUAUUAACUCUUCCCCUCGAGAUGAUAAUACUACAAGUUUAUCAAUCUCGAAUGAAUCUCAUUUUUGAAUCAAUAACAUACCCUACAUGGGUUAUUUAUUCUUUCUUAGAUCCUUCUAAGUUUUGAGACUUAUAAGGAUACAAUACCUUAAGAAUUUUAAAUUACAUUCUUAGGAACUUUAAAUUGCAUUCUUAUGUGUAGUAAUACUAUUUACUCUUCUGGAGCAUUCAUAUAUCCUCUUCUUGAACACUCUGUAAACUUAAUAUUAGCUUGUAUUGUACUCACAAUGAAUCAUAUCUCUUCUUUAUUACCAUGUUUAUUUUCUCAACUUCAAGUGAGAGUAUGACUUCUGUAAAAAAACUCUUUGGAUCUUGACCUCGUUUAUGUCCACAUUCACGUCUACAGCACAACCACUUUUAUGUUCAUUUUCUUGACCAAUACUAUUUUUGUGGUAUAAAUGUUAUAUUCUCUUCAUGAGAAUGGAUCAUAAUCAACUAGACGUGAUUUAUCAUCUUACAUCAAUAGCUCAUUAUUUUUCUUAGACUCAAGGAGACAAAAUACAAGUAUAAACUUCUUUAAUCUCUGUUCUCAAUCAUGUGUCUGCUGGACAGCAUUACUUGUGUGAAAUAAUAUUUUCCAAUAUAUAUUCAUCAUAAUUUUGCUUUUAAACUUAACAUCUAGCAUAGUUAAGAUUUAUUUACAGACUUGUAUCAAAACUUGUGGAUUUUUUUUUAUUUUUACGGUCAAGCCAUAAACUUAAAACCCACAUAUACAAAAUGGUAUUGAAAUAUUAUAAUAAAAUGAUUUCAAGUUCUAUAGAGAUAUGUAUUAUCACAAACAUUUUUAUUAAGAAAUAAAUAAUACAUAUAGUAAUUACUUCAUACACUAACUUUUAUUUGUACUAAUAUGCUAUUUAACAAGGUUCUUAACCACUCAAUCAAUAUACUGAAUACAGUUUAUAUCAUUUGUGUCAACUUUCACACAAAUUACUUUAUUUAAUCCAGUUUUAAUUAACUUUAUAAAUAAAGCAUAAAAAUAAAAUACUUAUCUUGAAGAGCGUCUCGGAGAUCGGUGAUCCAAACUUUCAUACUUCAGGUAGUUAUAGACUUCCCUUUUAUAAAUUAUUCUGAAAGAUUUAAAAUUUGCUCAUACAAAAUAUGGUUAUUUCAUUAGUAAUUAUGCAAAAUCAGAAUACUAAUUAUAUACCAAUAAAGUGAAUACUAAUCACGGAAAACAAUAACAAAUUGUUUACGUAAACUUAAAUGGUUCAAAUCAAUAACCAAUGAACAUUGAACCAAAAAAACAAUAAUACGAACAAUAAGUAUGCUUAUGCAAGUCUGGCUAUUACAUGAGUAAACAUUGAUAUUAGUAAAACCAUUUAUCUAGAGUAAAGUGACUUCGUAUGUUAAAAGAAAUUUUACAAGUAUCUUUAAUCACCAAAUCUCUAUUUUCUUAUUUCUGAUUCAUAAAUCAAACCUAAAUCAAACAUACUCGGUAUUUUCUCUAAGUUUCUUUAAACCAUGCUUAAUUGACAAUAGAAAAUAAAGAAAGACAAAGCGUAAACAUAGACCACGUGAAAACAGUAUACACCGUAAAGAAUAUUGCAUGUACUCAAUAUUUAAACAAUAUUACAAUACUACAUGAAUUCCUAGACACCUUCUCAGACACAUAAACAAGUAUCAUUGUAGUAUGAUAUUUGGUUAGUUUUCUAUUAAAUUCUUGUAGUAUGAUAUUUUUAAAAAACGUCAGAUGGAAGUGCAUGUCUUUGAAUCAAAUGAUACUUAAUCAACAACCGAGAAACUCACCUUCUCAUAGAAAACUAACCAAAUAUGUAACUAGUUACCAUCAUGAAACAUCAGCGCUGCCAAAGGAUUCUCCAAUCCAACUUGCUGCCAUAGCUUUGAUGUGGCGACCUAAAUUACAUGAAAAUAAAGGAAUCUUGAAGACAUUCAAUUGAAAUAAAUAUUUUUUUGAAAAACAUUGAAUAUAAACUCCCAAAAAUAGCUAACCAAAAAUUUCUUUCCUGAAAGCAUAUAAAACACUCUUUAAUAUAUCUGCAUAAGUAAAUCACUUUUGAGUAGUCUUUCCCAUGUAUAGUUCAUAUGUUAUCCACAACCCAAAGAGACACAUUGUUGGUGAUAAAUCAAACGAGUCAAGUGAGUUAUAUGACCUAGAAGAUUUAAACAACGAACUAAAAAGUGGAUAAUUACAAAGUCGUAGCCACCUAGUUUAAGAACUACAGUGCAUAGAAAAACAUGCAAACCGUCAAGACACUGAUUAAUCAGAAAAAUGGGGUUUACGUAAGAACAAAAGUAUCACAUUCCAAUAACUCGCUUGAGAGCUGCCCAUAAAACUUAAAGAGUUUUAUAGGAAAGGAGAUUCUCUCUGAGAAAGUUCUGCUGCUCUCCUGGCGUCUCGGUGCCUGAAAAAAAAGAGCGAACUUGAAAGAGGCAGAUCACCAUUAAUCUACAGCACUAGCCACUAAGCUCAUCUCUCUUCAAAAAGAAAACAGUGGUAUUCAUUCCGGAGAUUACAGUCAGAGUCACUCAGUCUUACGCUUUUUUACAUAUCCAUCUCCAGUCUCGGGACUCGAAAACUGCACCUUAGCAUUACCCUUCUUUUCAGAGUGAGGAAGAACUCUAACAUAACCAUUUUUCUUUUGAUCUGAAGUAAGUCAAUCAAAGCAAUAUAAAGUCAUUACAAGGAGGAGAGAAAAAACUAGGAUAAGCCCAAUGCCAUAAAAUAUAUGCAAACUACUUUCAACAAAACAAACCUAAACUAAGUGCUCUGAGCCUCUGAUACACAGCCUCAGACUGAUCAAGACCUAAGACAGAAGACAAGCCGAAGAGCAGCAGCAAAGAAAAAGAGAUAAGCUUGCAUGUUUCUUCAGCUGGGACGGUACCGCAGGAAGGAGAAAGAGAGAGUUCCGGUGGUGGCGCUUAUGGGGAGAAAUUAGAAGAAACCUAGAAAGACAAGAGAAGACUAUAGGAAGCUGAGAGUCAAUGGCUGAAGGAAGUGGACGAUCAGCUGGAAUGCUCCUUAACCUAAAAUUGUUAUUUGAUACUCCUUCAUUUCAUAAUAAGUGUGGUUUUAGUCUUUAAAUAGUUUAUUUCUAUCUUCUUACAUUUUUAAUGCAUAUAUUAAAUAAAUUUGGAAAAUAUUUGCAUGGUGGAUGGUUCAUGGACUUCCAUAGCUCAGUUUAGUGGUUGUGGUUGGGAUUGGAGGGAUGGCUUUGAAAAAAAAUCAACUUAUGGGGAUGCGGAAUUUAAGAAGGCGAGAGACUGCAUUGCAGUCUGAAGUGAAAGCAUUACUAUGGAAAAUGGAGAGUAUGCUUCAACAUUCGUCAUGUCAGAGUUUUGAGACGGAAUGCAAGGAUCUGAUUGUGAUUAUAAAUAAGCCUCACGCAUGGCCAAGUUUUUCAACAUAAUAGGAGGUGAUAAAGACGCUGCAAAUUUGUUUCCCAGACAUCAAGAUAUCUCAUAUCCCUAGAGUGCAAAUUUUGUUUCAAAUCAAGAACACCGAUUAAAAAUCCAUAUUUGUCGACCUUGGAUUUUUUCUCUACUUGAACAGAAUCUAUUUCUUGGAAUCUUUUCUGGUGAUUUCAGUGGUGUUCACCGAGUUUGGUUCCGUGAUAAUUAGGAACAAUUCCAAAAUUUUACAUGAACCUUGGUUCAUACAAUAAAAUUUUAACCAAUUACACAUUAUUUCUCAGUAAUAUUGGAUGUAAUAGUUUUAUUGAGUUUACAUAGUCGCAUUGAGUAUACUCAUGUGAUACUGGAUAUAACAAGGUGUUUCAUGCUAUAACAACGAAACACUUUUUAGAACUGUUAUAUUUCUCAAACAGUAAAGGUUGUAACUGAGAAUACUAAGUAAAUUUCUUAAAACAAGAGAAAUAGAAAAUAGUUUAACUAGAUAUUUAUGUAUUUUACAAACAAAAGGAGGAAACUAGUAUAUUUUACAAAUAAAAGGAGGAAACUUGAAACUGAAAUUAGGUCGGAAUCACCAAAGUCUACUGUCUGGAAAAGCUAUCAGUGGCUCAAAAUCACGGUAAAAAAGACCAACCUCUCUGAUCCAAAAGCAACGGUUACACAUAUUUUCACCUUUAGUUCUCUCAAUGUCCCAAAGAUACCAAUCGCUGUGCAAACAAGGAGUACAUUCGCAACUAUAGAACAAGGGGAUGUCAGAUGAAAUGAACUCAUCCCUCUUCGUGAAAAACGCAAUGUUGUGAGACAUACCUCUACCCAAAUUUAGAGAUCUAACCACCCUGCCUAUCAUAUCAACAUUUUUCCUUGAUAAACGAGAGAAAUACUCCUCAUCAUCCCAAAAUAUCUUGCAUGUCAUAGCGUAGGUGUACAAAGCACGCUCGAAUCCUGCAUCAGCUGCUCUCUUCAUUAAGGCAAGUCCUUCUUCUUGGAGGCCGAACGUGAAGAAAAACUGUACACCCUUGAUGUAAAGUGCACUCGGGUUUCCUGCAGCGUAGAAAUUUCGCAACAACAAGUGAGGCAUAUGUACAUACCAAGGGAAGUUAAACACAUCAAAAGAUGCGUAAACUGUGGGAAGCUCUGUUAAUGCCUUCAUAGACUUGCAUGUCGUUCUCAGUCUAUAGAGAUCUGCGAAGGAGUUAGCGGCCACAAGUUCCACCACUAACACUUGAAUUUCUUCAGGCAGAGAAAGAAUCGAGAGUUCUUUCAUGAUUUCUGUUUUGUUGUAUUUGAAGUUUGUGAUUAAAAAAAAUCUCUUAAGAGGAGUAUUAAAUAGUGGGACGGUUACCAAUUAAAGGAGGUGUCUUUUCCAUAGUCUUGUUUUCUUAAAUAUAAAGGACAUCUUAUCCAUUGAUAUGUUACAAGAUGAGUCAGAUUUUAUUUUUAAAAUAAUAAAUUUGGUAAUUAUUGACCCAAGGUAUGGUAAUUUCGUAUAUUAUUACCAAGUAUAUUUUCCAAGAUUUUAGAAAACAAUCUUUUUAAUAUUAGUUUCUAUAUUUUAGAUUUGAGAAGAUCUUAUAUAAAUAAGAUACAUAAGGAAUUUUUUUUUACAAAAUCUUAGAAUUAUUUGACUGCAACAAUUUAAUUAAAAAAAUUUAUUGGUGAUAAAUUUAGCAUUGACUAAAUAUAAUUUGUAAAUACCUCAUUUUGGCGUUUUCAUUUCCAUUCCUCUCUUCUCCUUUUCACGUAUGUCCUCUUAUGUCGUCCUGGUCGAAGUGUGGGUCACUCUAGAGGUCUGUGUGGUGGUUUCAGUCUCGAUCGAGAGGGCCUGCUCCGCCGUUUAGAUUCUUUCUCGAGAGGCAGUCUCGGUCAAGGUGCCGUGAGAGGGUAGUCACAUUGGUAAAGUUGUAAUUAGUUAGGUUUGUGUGAUUUCUUGGUCUUUUAAUAUUUUUCAAAAAAAAUAAAGAAAAAUAAAAAUGAAAAAGGAGGGGGUAUAUGGGAUUUUUUUUGACAGGAGAAGUAUAUUAGACUUUGUUCUCGUGAUAAAUGCUAUUGGUCUACCAGAAUGCAACUAAUACCACACAAUGAUUUACAAAUAUUCUGCUCAAAUAGAAUCAUUCGGCACAAGUUAGGUUACACUGGGUCAAUGUGUAUCCAUUGUUAUGUGAUAGAGAGCGGAAGCUAAAUUGAUAAGAGAUAGUAACGAAAACAAUAAAUCCUUGCACUUUUGAUCAUCUUAACUCGAACAAGAAAGUCUUUUGAUCUUGAUGAUAUUCUCAACAAGUCAAAAUAGGGUUUAGAGUACUCCUCUAAGUUCUAUAAAGCUCUUGAUUGCAAUUGCAAGUUUGAUAAAUAAUAAUAAGGUGAAUGUUUACAAAGACCAAAGCCGCUAUCUAUACUAAUCUAAAUAGUUCUUAUCCUAGUUCGUAAGGGAUGUUUAAUAAUUAUAUAGUUCUAAUAAGACAAGGAAAAACUAAUAACUUAGAAUAAAAGUAAAGCCGAAGAACAUAACAACUCAUAGUAAUGGCUGUGAAGAUGAUGAUGAUGCGCUGCAUCAGGUUCCCUGGAUUGAGAAGGAUUCACCCACGAAUCAUGAUCAUUGUUAUCGCCAUGGUAAGGAGACCUGUGCUUCAUGUUAAAGAUGUUUGAAGUCCUGAAAUGUGCCGGAAAUUGUACUUUGUAUUUAAGCAUUUGGAUUGAUACGUUCCAGCACCCCCCCCCCCCCCAUUUGGAUUGAUACGUUCCAUUUGGAUUGAUACAUUUGAAUCAUGAUCAUUGUUAUCGCCAUGGUAAGGAGACCUGUGCUAGAAUGAUGAAUAUUAAAACUGAUCACAAUCUACCUGAAAGUUGCAUGAACGAAUGGACGGACUUGUUUAAAGAGUAUUUGCCGGAAGACAAUGUGUCUGCUGAUUCUUAUUAUGAGAUUCAGAAAUUAGUUUAUAGUCUUGGGUUGCCUUCAGAGAUGAUAGAUGUCUGCAUCGACAACUGCAUGAUCUAUUGGGGAGAUGAUGAGAAGCUAGAAGUAUGUCGAUUCUGCAAGAAGCCACGAUUCAAGCCGCAAGGACGGGGACGUAAUAGGGUACCGUACCAAAGGAUGUGGUACCUACCAAUUACAGACAGAUUGAAAAGAUUGUAUCAAUCAGAGCAGACUGCUGCAAAGAUGAGAUGGCAUGCCGAGCAUACUCAGACGGAUGGUGAGAUGACUCGUCCAUCAGAUGCAAGAGCCUGGAAACAUUUCAACAAAGUACAUCCGGAUUUUGCUAGCAAUAGCCGGAAUGUGUAUCUCGGAUUAUGCACAGAUGGAUUUAGUCCGUUCGGAAUGUCAGGGAGACAAUAUUCAUUGUGGCCAGUCUUUCUUACGCCAUACAACCUGCCACCGGAGAUGUGCAUGCAACGGGAGUUGCUAUUCUUGACGAUAUUGAUACCUGGUCCGAACCAUCCAAAAAGGUCCCUGGAUGUUUUCCUACAACCACUGAUAAAAGAGUUGAAGGAUUUGUGGUCAACAGGGGUGAGGACGUAUGAUUGUUCAACGAAGACGAAUUUUACGAUGCGAGCUAUGCUUUUGUGGACCAUAAGUGACUUUCCUGCAUAUGGGAUGUUGUCUGGAUGGACUACACAUGGGAGAUUAGCUUGUCCAUAUUGUAAUGGAACGACAGAUGCGUUUCAACUGAAGAAUGGUAGGAAGACAAGUUGGUUUGAUUGUCAUCGUCGAUUUUUUCCCAUUGGCCAUCCUUACCGAAGAAACAAGAAUUUGUUUAGGCACAAAAGGGUUGUGAGAGACACUUCUCCACCAUAUCUAACUGGAGAACAAAUUGAAGCACAAAUCGACUACUACGGAGCUAACGAAACAGUUCGUUGGGGUGGUAAUUGGCAUGUCCCUCGUAAUAUGCCUGAUUCUUACGGUGUUCAUCACAACUGGCACAAGAAGAGUAUAUUUUGGGAGUUGCCAUAUUGGAAGGAUCUUCUUCUGCGCCACAACCUCGAUGUGAUGCAUAUAGAGAAAAAUUUCUUUGAGAACAUCAUGAAUACAAUAUUGAAUGUCCCAGGGAAGACAAAAGACAACAUAAAAUCGAGGUUGGACUUGCCGGAUAUUUGCUCAAGAAGCGAGUUACAUAUUAAAAGCAUUGGACAAGUUCCCGUUCCGAUAUUCAGACUGUCUUCAGAAAAAAAGUCAGUGUUGUUCAACUGGGUGGCAUCAGAAGUGAAGUUCCCCGAUGGGUAUGUUUCAAAUCUCUCUAGAUGUGUUGAAAAGGGUCAAAAGUUCUCUCGGAUGAAGAGUCAUGAUUGUCAUGUCUUUAUGCAACGACUACUGCCCUUUGCAUUUGCGGAGCUACUUCCAACAAACGUACAUGAAGCACUUGCAGGUUCGUAGUGUUUUAUAUCACAAUAAUUUUAUAACGGUCUAGUUUGCAAAAUAAUAUACGACUAACAAUGUGUUUAAUUGUUUUUGGAAUAUAAAAGGCAUUGGAGCAUUUUUCAGGGAUCUGAGCACACGCACUCUUAAAGAAGAAGUUGUAGAACAGCUUCAGGAGAACAUUCCCAUCUUAUUGUGCAACUUGGAGAAGAUAUUUCCUCCUGGAUUUUUUGACGUCAUGGAGCAUCUAGCUGUCCACCUCCCAUAUGAAGCAUUGCUUCGUGGACCUGUACAUUACGGAUGGAUGUAUCAGUAUGAGCGAGCCAUGAAAUAUUUGAAGGGAAAAGCAAAGAACCUCGCCAAAGUUGAAGGUUCUAUAAUUGCUGGAAGUUUGACGGAAGAAGUUUCUCACUUCACAUCGUACUACUUUGCGUCAAAAGUACGUACCCGUAGAAGAGCUCCAAGAAGAUAUGAUGAUGGUGGAGUUGCGCCAACAUAUGCAGUUGCUGGUGUUCCAGACAUCUUUAGCCAGAUUGGACGACUCGGUGGGAAGUCUAAAGAGGUUUGGUGGUCGAGUGAACAAGACGCUCAUAGUGCACACACCUAUAUUCUACUCAAUUGCGAGGAUCCAUUGAUGCGUUAUUUUGAAAGGUAACAUAUAUGGACACUUCAAAACACAUAUAAUUAAUUAUAUAAUUGCAAGAGAUUCAUUCCUAUGAAAUGUGAUUAAUUUUACAGCCUAUUUGUUUCUCAAGUCGAAGAAACAUUUCCUGGUAUAUCCACAAGUGACGUAGACAAAAGAAAGAUCAGCACUUCAUUAAGUGGUUGCGGAAUCAGGUAUUAUAACUCAAACUAUUUUUUCAUACAUGAUUUGUAUUUUAAUGUUCUCUUUAUUUUUGCAGGUUGAUUAUGACGACGAUGCAGAUUAUCCUAAGUGGUUACACGAAGUAAUUCAAUCUCCACUUGUAAAGGUCACCACAUCACAGAUGUAUUUCACACGAGGCUACACUUUUCACACAUAUGAGUAUGGUAGACAGCGGGCGACCAGUAACUAUGGAAUAUGUGUGAAAGGGGAAACAGAUUUCUACGGGAUCUUGACGGAGAUUAUUGAAGUCGAAUUUCCAGGGAUACUGAAGCUGAAAUGCGUCAUCUUCAAAUGUGAAUGGUUCGACCCCGUCGUCAACAGAGGUGUUCGGUCUAACAAAUUUGGUGUAGUUGAUGUCAACGGUGGACGUCGGUACAACAAAUUCGAGCCUUUCAUCUUAGCUUCACAAGCAGACCAAGUUAGCUUCCUUCCAUACCCUCGGAUGAGAGAUUCGGGUAUAAAUUGGUUAGCAGUGAUCAAAGUUACACCUCGAGGACGAAUCAUCAGUGGAGAAGAACCACCAUUGCAAGAAGAACAGAUAAAUGAAGUCGAGGAACCUGAACAAGAAGUUGAUGACAUCCUUCUCAUUGAUCCGCAUAAUCACGAAUACGAAGAUCUUACCGAUGAUGCCACAGACGAAGCUGUAGAAGACGAGUUUAAUGAAAAUGAUGAUAUUUCUAGUGAUGACGAGAAUGUCGAUGUAUCCGAUUGAUGUAUUUGAUUUUGUGUAGUUUGUUUUAUGAAUAAGGUAAUGUGAGAGUUUGUUUUAUGAAUAAGGUAAUGUGGGAGUUUGUUUUAUGUAUAAGAAAUUGUGGGAGUUUGUUUUAUAAAUAAGUAAAUGUGGGAAUUGUGGUUUGGAAUGGAAAUAAACAUGGGGUUUGGAAUAUAUGACGUAGAAGAUAAGGAAUAUGGGGUUUUGGGGUUUGGGGUUUCGGAUUUUAGGGAUUUAAACGUAUUGCUCGUUAAUUCCUCGUAAUUUGACGUCGAAUGUACGACGUAAUCGUCGUUUAUUCCACGUAGGACAGAAUCGUCGUAAAGACCUCGUAAGUAAAUUGACGUAAAUACCACGUAAAGUGAAUGACGAAGGAGGCACUCUUUAAUUCCACGUAGGAUAAUUUCGUCGUAAACACCUCGUAAGGCCACGAGGAUUUUACGACGAAAUUAAAAAAGCGGGGCACGCUAAUUCCACGUAAGCCAGAAUCGUCGUAAAAGAGUCGUAAACUAACGACGAUAUUACGACAAAAAUAUUAAAAAUACUAAAAAAAGAAGAGAAGAAAGAUGCUUGAAUCACAUUUGGCGAGACUUACGUAAGUCUCGACCACAUGAGUUCCAAAUAUCUUCUUCUCUUCUUUUUUUUCCAAAUUUUCUAAAUUGGUGAAAAGCGGGACUUGCUACUUCCUCAUAGUAUAAAAACUAGAAAAAAAAGAAAAAAAGAAAGAUACUAGAAUUAUAUGUGGCGAGACUUAAGUCUCACCCACAUAAAUUCUAAUAUCUUCUUUUCUUCUUUUUUUUUCAAAUAUUUCUAAUUUGAAAAGUAUUUUGGUGAGGAGUGUGACUUGUGUGUGUGGGACUUGUGUGUGUGGUUUGAGAAGGAAAGUUGUGGGUAUUUAUAGAAAAUAAAGGCUCGCUAAUUCCUCGUAACUGGUUUACUCGUUAAUUCCACGUAACACUUUUCGUCGUAAAAACGUCGUUAACGAAAACGCGGGCCUUUGUAUUUUGUCGCUAUUUUGUCGUAACUGAAAACGCGGGCCUCUGUAAUUCCUCGUAAGUUUACGAGGAAAUUACGAGGACAAGUAAUCUUAUAUAUAUCCCGAGCGAGCUCGCUCCGUCUUUCCUCUCCACUUCCUCUCCACUUCCUCCCUAAUUCGUAGCAAUGGUAAGUCUCUCUAAUUCCUCUCUAGUUUGAUUAGUUUAGGAUAGAUUAGGUGGUUAGUAUAGGGAAUUUAGAUAGGUUUACGGAUCUUAUGUUAUUUAGUGUUGAUUAGGUGGAUAAUGUUGGGAAGUAUAUGUUUACGAAAAUUUAAAAAAUUAAAUUUUUUUCUCAGGUUCGAAAAGGUAGACUUACUGCCCAUUACAGAGAGAUGUUCGGUGAGCCGGGUAGUCGUUUAGACCCGUCGUCUUCUUCAGCUCCCGGUUCUUCGUGUCAGGAGACUGUCCCCGAGACUCAGUACACUCAGAGAGUCAUUGGAUCUCCUUCUUCUAGUGCUCCCCAGAUGCCUCCUCCUCCUGUGCCUCCUACGAUGCCGGCACCUCCGAUGCCCGCGGCCGAGAUUCAUCCCGAUUUGAUGGUGCCUCCGAGUGCUCCUUGCUCGCAGUACACCGUAGAGGACAUUCUCCGUCUGCCAGGCAGAGAAGGUUUACCAGUCACGACCGACCGGACGGAACUUUAUGGUAUGUUUCAUUAUUUUUUUAUUCUUUUUUAAUUAUUUUAUAACUUUAAAAAAUAAUUUAUAUUUUAAAUUUGUAUUUUUCAGGUGGGGGAUUGACGGAUGUCUUGCAUCGGACGUAACCGACACGAUAAAAGGUUACUUCUCCAUGGCACAUCCGAACUGGAAAAUGACGCCCCACUACGUCAGAAAGACGUGGUUCAAAAUUUACGCUGUAAGUUCUAUUAAUUAAAUAUAUAUCUUUAAAUUUUUUAAUUAUUUAUAUAUAUAUUUUUUUCUGAAAAACUAAUUAUAAAUUAUUUUUUCCAACAGCAAAAAUAUAAUUGGGCCUUCGGGAUCACUGAGAGGGUGAGGAAGAAGUUUGAAGCGAAGGCGAAAGUUCGCUUGUUGGACACGGUCUCCAACUGGAAGGGUGACUGGAUCGUGAAGGGGUAUGAGCGUGGCAAACCCGCUGAGCUCACCACGGAUGUCUGGGAUGGCCUCAUCCGAUAUUGGCGUCUUCCUGAUUCCAUUAGAAUCGCCCAGUCUUGCUCUAACUCCCGUAACACAGUCGAUGAGCACGGGAACGGGCCGAUGCUUCACACUACGGGCCAAAAACCCCACGCUGGUGUCCGUUUGGAAAUGGUAAUUAAAAAUUUAAUUAUAUUAAAUUUUUAGUAUAUUUUUAUAUAUAUUCUAAUUAACAACUUUCUUAAAUGUUUUUUUAGGCCAAAGAGACGGGAGAAUUCCCGUCUCUUAUGCAACUUUACGAGAGGACCCACAAGAACAAGGCGGGCCGAUUUAUAGAUGGCAAGUCCGAGCAAAUCUACAACGAUUUGGCUGCUCGGGUUGAAGAACGCCAGACCCAGCUGACCCAACAGUCCACCGAUGGAUUACCCGUCACCUUAUCCACACCUGAAGUGGAUAAGCUUUACGAGGAGGUAAAUUUUCUAAAAUUUUAAUUUUUUUAAAUAUUCAUUUAAUUUAACUUUAAAUUUUUACUAACAAAAUUUAUUUUUUGUUUUUAAGGUUGUCCCUAAAAAAAAGGGACGGACGUUGGGGAUUGGUUCCGUCAACGAUGUUCCGAGAGCGACAUCGUCUUAUGUUCAGCGACGGGAUGAUGAAGUCUCUCAGCUGCGUAGGGAGUCCGAAGAGCUGCGUAGAGAGUCUACUCAGCUGCGUAGAGAUUCUACUCAGCUGCGAUCUCGUAUGGGUGGACUCGAGGGCUUCUUGGACGUUGUAGCGGCCACAAAUCCGGAAUGGGCGACUUUGUUGAGGACCAUGCGACAACAAAAUCCUAUCCCAGGCCAGUCACCGACCGACGACUCACAUGCCGAGGCGGAUGUUCAGGCGAGGAGUGAUGAAUUCUACGAGGCGAUUAAUUAACGACCACCCAAGUUCUUUUUAAUUUCGGUUCUUGUAUUAUGAAUUCAAAACUUAUUUAUAUAUAAAAUAUUUUGGUUUUGAUUUUUUUAGAAUUUUAAUUUUAUUAAUAAUUUAAAUAAUUUAAAUUAUAUUUAUAAUUAUAAUUUUUUAUAUUUCUAUAAAAUAAUGAAACGAAGUAAAUUCGUAGCUAAUUUUGCGGCUUCUUUACGUGGAAGCUUAAUGUGGUUUUUACGAGGAAACAUUUACAAGGAAAUAACGUGGAAAUCUAUCAAGGUUUUUACGUUUUCUUUACGUGGAAAUCUUUCAAGGUAUUUACGUUAAUUUUACGAGUAUUUAUUUACGUGGAUUUUACGAGGAAAGUUUUUCGUGGUAAUUACGAGGAAACUUAGCGACGUCCUUACGAGGAAUCUUUACAUGGUCUUUACGAGGAAAAUUAGCGACGUCCUUACGAGGAAUCUUUACGUGGUCUUUACGACGAAAUAUCCUCCUUCGCUUUUACGACGAAAUUAUUUCCUCGCUAACUUACGACGAAUUAGCGAGGAUAUAUGCGUUACGACAAACGUAAAACGACGAAACGGGUUUCCUCGCUAAUUCGUCGUAACACUGCUUUUACGACGAAUUAGCGAGGAAAACUGCCCUCGUAAAACUUGUGUUUUCUUGUAGUGAAUAUCAGAAAACCCAAAUUUAUAAGAAUCUGAGAGCAUCUUUCUCAAUAAUUCAUGUUUUAUUGUAGUUCUCCUAGGAACUAACAUCAUCACCUCUCUCUUUUUUGCAUUGCUUCUUGAAUCUAAAAACACACUGUAUUAACAAAUCAAAGAAUUUUUUACUCUUAGAGCCACUUUUUCACUUCUCUAUUACACUCCAGGCCACAUUGGGCUAGAAGCACACAUUAUCAUGUCACAAAGACACUAAUGCCCCUAAACUAAACCAAGCAUUAAAACCAAAAAAACUAAAAAUAAGAGAAGGUCCAGACCAUGCACCGCGGUUCAAGACGAUGGUUAACUUUAAAGUAACGGCGAGAUCUUCGAGAGUCCUCAUUAAUGUUCUACUCUCCACCAAGUUAAGCACUCUGCUGCCGAAGUUACUUUCACAGCACUAUCCAAUCGUGGCCCUUCUCACUCUCUAGCCGCUAGGAUCUUGGUUAGUUCUUUUAUUUCAUUGAUGGAUCUGUACUUGAACUGGAUGGUUUAGAUUUUAAUGGAUCUACGAUGUAUCUGAUUGAUUAGUCAAAUUUCGUUUAUAUCCUGCAAGAUAAGAGAUUCUUGUCCUAAUCAUUAGUGCAUGACUAAUUAUAUCUGUCCGGGCUCUGAUUGUGUAGUAUGAGACUGGUGUGUACAAGAUUUUUGCAAGAAAUAGCUCAGAGAGUGGGAGCUCCUCGGCUGCGAUACACAACCUUCAGGUCUGGCCUUGGUCUGACCUUCACCAGAGAUCAGGCUUCAGGUCUGCCGCAAUACAGAACCUCCAGGUCUGACUUUUACCGGAGAUUAGUCUAAGAACAAAAUGCAAGCGGAGAAGAAUGUUGUUAUGGCUGCUUGGUCUUCCCUUAAACAACGUGAGGCCUUCUCUCUUCGUCCUGAUCUGAUUUAAUUAAUGUUCACAUGGUGUUUGAUCUUUUAUCUUCUUGUUGAUAACAGUGCCAAAUGAAACUUCAAGCUCGAUGCUACCAACCGCCUCAGCAGAGAUUUGCAACUCCAGGAACAGCAGCUCCUCCUCCUCCUGCUUAUGUUCAUGUGGACAGCAGUUGUUGGUUUCACAAUGGAAAGGUUUUGAAAGGUGAAACUACUUUGGUGGAGAUCAAAGUUAUGGAAGAAGAUGUUCUUGUUGUCAUGCUUAGCAAAGUACACACUUUUUUCAUUAUCAAGUUAGAUUUUUUGCUUAGGAUCAAUAAUCUACAUGACGUGUUGCAGUUUUUGGUUGGUUCUGAUAUUUUAUUGGUUCAAAUCUUUGGCAUUCUGUUUAAAACAUAACAGCGGAAUAACAUGUGUACUAGUUUCUUUGUUCAUGCUUUCUUUAUCCACAAUCUCACUUCGAUGAUUUCCUCAUCCACGAUUUCUUAUGUCCAUACUUACAUGUCCUAUACUAAUUAUCUAUAUGUACAUGUCCUAGACUAUUUAUUUAUGCGUCUCUGUCCAUGCUAUCGAGUUUCUGGUGAUCUAGUCCAUAACUUCUGGUUAGUGUUUUGUCGUGGUUAGUGUUUUGUUGAGGUUUUGGUAACAUGAGUCUAUGUCUACAUUUUUUUUUCUCUUAUCCACAUGAAUCCUUGUCUACAUGACUACAUGUCCACAACUCCAUGUAUUUUGUUUUGUUAACAUGAGUCCAUGCCCAAACACAUCACCCUAACACAAAUCACCCGAACACAGCUCAAUCGACCACAACUCUGCCGACCACAACUCAGCCAUCCACAACUCAGCCAUCCACAAGAGCAAUUUUGCACCCCCACACCGAACACAAGCAAUUAAGGUAUGUCUUUGUCAAACUGACCUAUUCUCCAAAAUUCAAUAUCUUCCGUUUGAUUUAAUAGUAACUUUUGUAAUCCAACGGUGGAAAGAAGAGCCCUUUAACAUAAACAUAAAUGAAACAAGUAUAUUCUUUCCAACAAGCACCAUCGAAUCCCAUUUCCCACAAGGGCAAAUUUGACAAACCAACUCUUUGGUCCCACCAAAAAGUGUCCUACAAGUGGGAAGUGUUUCUCAGUGUAAAACAAAGACAAAAUGUGUCUUUUUAUGUAAUCAACUCCAAAUCAAAUUAGUUUCAUAACAGACGAACAAUAUAAAAUCACAUAAUAAAAAGUGAUCUAUUGAUUAUACUCUAAAUCAAAUCAACUGUCUAGAGAAUUAAACCUUAACAUACCAAGCUAGAACAUAUACUAAUCAAAUCAAAAGCAUCAUAGAUCAACAUAAAUCAGAAAAAGGUAUAAACUUUCAUUCAAAAUCAUGAAUAUGGCAGACAAAACUAGCUCAGACUUAUCCAACAUGCAAAAAUUAACUGGAAAAUCAAAGAUUUAUAGAGAGUGAUAAAUAUAAAAUAUACACAUUUGAUUGGAUUAACGAACUCAACAAUUUAAUAUCCAAACUUUAAGGAAUCUAUAUAUGAUUAGAUAAUACUAAACAAAUAAGAAAGGUCGUCUAAAUGUGUGUCUGAUUGAAAGACUGAAACUCAUCGUCAAAUCAAACGUGUGUGUGAUUGAAAAUCUGAUAGUUUAACACGAUAGUCAUGAAAAAGCGGCUCUGGAUAUUCUCCAUCACAUGCUUAAUCACAUAGCAAUACAUUAAGAAACCAAAAACAAAACAUUAAAGCUCGAUGAAGAUGACGACGGCGGAACUCGAUGAAGACGACGGUGGCAAGGCUCGAUGAAGACGACAUCGGCAAAGCUUGAUGAAGACGAUGAAGACGCCGACGGAAAGGUAGAGACACGCGCCCCCAAUUUCUUCUCCCAAACCUAGACUUCGCAUCUCCUUUCGCCCUUCUCCCGAUCGCCUCUCCGGUGCCAUUCGGCUCUGUGAUAGGGCCCUUGCCGACCCCGUCAUAUCGCAUGAAGAUAUGUUGGUGUUGUGACUCUGCUUCUGGUCGUCGUCUUCGCAGAUGACAUGUUCGAUUCGUCAAGGCUGAGAAGGAUUUGCCACGCGGUGCCGCUGCUUCUUCCUCCUCUUCACCGAAGCUUUCGUUACUCUCGACUCCUAACUCUACUCGCCGGACUGGAAAAUAAAAAAUGUCGCUUCAUGGCCUCUGCUUCCAAAGGCUAACCGGGUACGCAUCGCCUGAGCUAGAGGUCUCGGGACCUCGGACUGGAUGCGAUAGGGUCAUCUUUGUCACUCCGCUGAGUCUAGGCGAUUAACUAUUGAGUGAUGCAUUAAUUUAGCUCCUCUCCCCUCCUUUGUUUUUGGUGUUGGUGUUUCUUGUUAGUUUGGAUUGAAAUUGCAGGUUUAUUCGAGCUGGGGUGUGGAGGUUCUUCAUUUUCUUGGAGCACCGGGUAACACUUUACGGUUGGAGGAGGUAGUAAGACUCGGGAGGUGGUGAUGCUGUCCCUUACUCUGUACCGACUUAGAGGGCGAGUGCGGUCGAGUUGGUUGAGCGCUAUUAAUCACCCGUGGUGUGUGUUGUCCUGUCUAUGGCUAAAUUCCGGGUUUAGUUCCUUCCCAGCCCGGACCUAGAGGACAGUCCUUGAGUGGGUCUGUUUCUGCUCCACGGAGGAAAGCAAUUUGUGCAGGCGGCCGUUGAAUCCACUUCUCAUUGGCGUUGUGUCCCUCGUGUUCUAGGUCCUCGGGUCUCUCCUUUCAUGUCUGUCUCGGCUCAACCUUCCAUCUGGCUACUACAAGUUUGUAUUGAUACUUGACGUCCUGUUCGCUCCAAAGCACAACGGUUUCAAGUUAGAUUGUUUUCUGCGUUCAUGUUUUUACCUUUUUUUGCCAUGGAAGUAGAUUUUAGAGGUCUUCAAGUUUGUUUAACACAUCUUGUAAGCCUCAACAGUUUAUUUCUGAAAUGAUAUUUACCUUUUAGCAAAAAAAAAAAAGAAAAAAAAAAGAAUACAUAUUAAGUUGGAGGACAUUAUAAAAGUAGUUUGAUAAUGUAGGAAGUUUAUUUUAAUAUCAGAAGUAGGCAGCUAGCUGGCAUACAGCUGUGAUUUUAAAUAUUGCAUCCCUACCGUAGUUGGCGUUUGAAGUAAAAAUACUGGUAGACAAUUUGAGGUAUUGAAACCAAAUGUUUGAUACUUAACUUACUUUACUUCAACAACUUCUCCAAGACAUUCCUUUUAGGGUGAAUUUGUGAGAUAUACAUAAGAGGCACUAAAAUAAGGAAUAUGUCCAUUCUACAGUAUAAGCUCAUCGAUGUGACAGAUUCUUCAAAAAAUGACAUUACUAUCCUUCAGAGAGCGCAUGGACGUGUAGAAGAAAAAUCAAGUAAAAACCGUACUAUACUAUAUUCCUUACAGUAUGGACACAGUUGUAAGAUAGCAGAUGAAAGGACGUUUUUGGGAGUAGAAAACGAACCUACACAUGCGGAGGAAUAGAUGACGAUUGAUGACUGUGGUGGAAGAAGAGAAGAUACUGACAGCGCCGAAACAAUCAAUAGAAUUAAUGGUGACAAUGGAAUGAUUGACAUGAAUGAAGAAGAAAGAAAUUGAACUAAGAGAAGAGAAGGCUGAGGAGAAGAAUGAAAAAUAAGAAACAAACAUGAAGAAGAAAUAUUGUACUAACCUAUACUUUGACGAUAAUAUGGAAUAGUAUACUAUAAUAUUAACAAGAAUUGUCGCAAAAACAUUGUGUAUAUUCUUCAUUUAAAUGUAUUGUUCGCGAGAAAAUGGUGGAUGCAUUAUAUAUUAAAUGUUUUUACAAAACUCUAAACGUCAGAUUCAUUUCAAUAGCAUACAACCUUUGGUACCAUAAAUCUACAUUUUAUCAUAUUUGUUACAACACAAUAGAAUAAAACAUAUUAACAAAGAGUAUUGUUUUUCUUUUCUCCAAUGCAACCCACCAUCUAAUUCAGGGAUGGUUAUUAGUGGUGGCGGUGCUGAAGAAUAAGACAAUGGAGCUGAUGGAGUAGUGAAAGAGAAGAAUCAGAAGGCGAAGGAGAUACACUUUGCCAAAGAAGAAGAGAAGCAUUUUAGCAUACUAUACUCUAAUUAUAAAAUGGAAUAGAAUAUGUUACACAACAAUACUAUUCAUCUUCCCCAAGUCAAUCCAUCCUCUGCUUCUUCAUCACUAUCUCCAACCCAACAAACCAAACACCUUGCAGAUACAAUCACCCACAAAUACAACCGCCACAGCCAAUCACCGCAAGAACCCUAAAUAGCUUCUCGAACACCCCCACCCUUCUCGUUCAUCGCUUCUCUUUGAAAUUUAUCUAUCUCUUUUUUUUCUUUAUGAUGUGUCAUCUGUAUUUAGAGUUCUUUUGAAGUGAAAGAAAUCUCUUCGACUGAAGAAGAAACAUCGACAUCAGAUUCUUUUCACGCGCAUAGAUAAGGGUACGUUCGUCACUUUGUAGAUUAAUAUGUAUAAUAUCAUAGCCAAACUUUCUUAUGGGUAGAAACUUUAUUGUUGACUUUCUUAUGUGUAUGUCACCUAAUUCCCCUUCCUUUUAAGUGUCUUUUUAAACACAUAUCAAACUGAGCAUAUAAAUAUAAAGUCUUAAUGGCAUUUUCUCGAAUAGAAUUGGUCCAAUUCUACAUUAUAUUUUGUUGACCCAUGUACCACAAUGCAUCACACAAUAAUGUUAGUAUUCUUGAAUAGAAUUGGUAUAUUGCUACCAAGCUAUAAUGUUUAAUUAUGUAACACAUUAUAUUUAAUGUAAAAGUAUAUAUAAUUUUGUUUCAAAAAAAGAAAAGAAAAUGUCUAUACAAAUUGUGAUGUAAGAACCGUCUUACUCCGCGCAAGGCGCGGAUCUUACCUAGUCUAUUCUAUUAAGACAACAUCAUGACCUAUUGAUAAAUAUUGUGUCUAAUAAUAAUAAUUAAUUUCCUGCUUUUAAUUUAAAUGUUGUAUAACCACUUUCUAAUUUAAUUUCAUAUUAUGCAUGAUGACCCACUACUCCCUAAAAAAACUGUCGACUACAUACCUAAAUGAGAAAUAUUGUGAACAUGGAACAAUUUAAAAAUAUAUGAUUUUCCUAUAUGUGAAAAUCAUAUACGUAUCAAAGGUGAGAUUUAUUUAUAAAUAAAAUCAAACAUGAUUCAAAAACAUUUAUCUAACCAAACAAAUUUGUUUUGUUUUCAAUGUAUAGUUUGAAAACUUAAUUAAAAAAAACACUAAGUUUGUAACUAACUAUCAACUUUUAAUAACUCGGAAUUCAUAUAAAUGUUAUUUUAAAUAUUGUAAUUUAAUAUCAAGAAAAACUAUCUAUAAAUAUAUUUUCAAUAAUUUAUACCCACAACACUCAGAUAUUGGUUUCAUGUAUAGUUAUGCAAAAUCAUAAAUUCAACAUAAUUAUCAAAACAUGUUACAAAUAAUUUUUAAAAUAUCAAUAUUAUUAAAUUAAGAACAUGACUUAUUGAUAUAGGUUAAGUCUAACUAUUUAUUUCUUUUAUUAAAAUAUAAAGCAAAUUGUAUUUUUUUUUUGUCCACGCAAAUUGUAACAUAACUACCUUUUUUAAUAAAAUUAUUUUGCAACUUCUACUUUAGUUCCAAAUUUUUAGGAACCCACUUCCCCGAAACGCAUAUAUUGAGCCAUGUUUAUAAGUAUUGAAUAUUAUUUCUUCAUUUUAGUCAAAACCAAAUGCCAUGGUUUUAUCUUUUUUUUUUUUUUUGUAACAGCCAUGGUCUUAUCUAUUAUACUAAAAGUAAUAGUUUAACAUUUGUGUCAAUUGUUAUAUUACUCUUCACUUUCAGAUAUAUAAUUGUUCUUUCCUUUUGGUUUGACUAUUAACCUGCUAAUCUAUUCUAUUAGGAUUUACAAUACAAAAACAUAACUUAUAUCCCAGCCCAAAACAUUAUGAUUUAUUCAACCAGACAUUAAUUUAUUCAAAUUUUACAUAUUUUUUACAGACAUUAAGUUUAUCAAUUAACAAAUCACAUGGUGUUAAAAAUAAGAUUUAACGGAGUUUAAGUGAACUUUUAAUAGAAAUAAAUAUUCAUAUAAAUUCAUUUAGUUUAACGGGUUUAAAAUACGUUAUUCGAUUAAUUUUUUUAUGAAAUAUAAAAUUAAAACAAAAAAUAUAUCCGCCCUUUUAAAGGCGGGUCAGAAUCUAGUUUUCUUUAAAUUUGCCUCAAAUUGCUAACCAAAAUAAAAGGCUUCGGCAAUGGGUACCUAAUCUCGGAUCUUACCGAUCAAUCUGGUCCAGUUGUCUUAAUCAUUUUCCUUCGGCUUCCGGGCUAUGCUGUUGUUUUGAUUAAGUUGUUAGGGUUAAGCAAUUUUAGGUAUGUUUUUUAUUGGAUCAUGGAUUUAGAAAGAUAUGUUUCACAAAUUCGUUAUAUGCCAACCACCAUUUCUUAAAUUAAGAUGCUUAAAGUUGAUCAUUGCCUAAUUAACUCUAUCUUUAUCUUACUAUACUACUAGAGUUUGACCCGCACAUUCGUGCGAAUAUAUUUUUAUUUUAUAAAUGUAUACAUUUAAUAUUAUCGUAAAUAUUUUAAAUAUAUGAUUUAUAUUUUAGUGUUAUAUAUUGUGUAAUUUUAUAAUUUUAUAAUUUUAUUGUUUAGGUUUUUUAUUCAGCAUUAUUAAUAUAUAGUUAUUUAUUUUAUACUUUUUACUUUGUUUUAGACACCAUUCUCGAAUGAUAAAAAACACGCAAUGAGUCAUACAUAUAAUGAAAAACAUAGAGAAAUUAGUAGGUACCACAACAUAAAAUAUAAAAAAGACAACUCUCAAUAAAUUUGUAGUUAAAAGAGACUUUUCAUUAAUAUCUUUUGAAUUAUUAUUUUUUCUGAUAUCCUAUUUUGUCAAUAACUAAAAGUUAGUUAUGACUAUUAUAUUUUGUAUAUAAUCAUUUAGGUAAUACAUUGUUGUGAGUUUCUUUUUUUCUCUUGUCAUCAACUUAUAUAGACUCACACUGACACUGCAUGCUAGGCUAUCCACCUUUGAGUUUUGCGUCUUUGGUACUUAAAUGAUCCUUUUUCAAAUUAAUUAAAUAAUAUAUAGUUGUAGAUAUAAAAGUUUAACAUAUGCUAAUAUUUUUUGUAUAAAAUAUACAUACUUUAUUAAUUUUUACCAUUUUUAACACUGAAUGAUAGUUUAUUUUAUUUAUUUAAAUGAAAGCAAUGAUAGUUUAUUUUAUUUAUUUAAAUGAAAGUAAAUUGAAAAUAAAAUAGGUUAUUUUACCAAUUUUAUAUAGUUUUGUUUUAUUUAAUUCAUAUAGUACUUCUAUUUAUAUAAUAUAUUAUAAAAUUUAUAAAAUAGCGAAUAAUUGUUUUUUUGUUUUAUAAUAAAAAAAUUAAUUAAUAUUAAUGUAUAAUCAUAUUAUAUUACUAAUUAAGAAAUUAAUUAUUGCACGAUUUUAAAAAAAUACUUAAAUUUUUUAAUAAGAUUUGGGUAGAUAAUUUCUCAACAGAUUUUGUUACAAUUAAAAAUAAAAUUUAAAUCUCUAUUUUCUCAACAGAUUUGUUAGACUAAGAAUAAUCAUUAUGUCAUAUUAAGUAAUUAAUCAAAUGGUCCUACUAAGACUUUUAAAUGGUAGAUAAAAAUUAGGACUCUAAAUUAAUAGAUUAGAUGAUACUAUCUAAAAGAUCAACAUUUUAGGUGAUUAUUGUUAUUUUCUCCAAUGAAUUCCCUGUUAUGUUAUUUCCUAAUUUUGUACAAAUAACUGAAGAAGAAAAAGGGACAAUCACAGCUUUAUUCCUUACUGAUGUCAAUCAAAAAUGAAUUUAAGCCACACCAACUAAUAUAACAACUAAGUUCUUUUAUAUAACAACCAAGUAAUAUAUAUAUAUAUAUAAUACAUAUAUCUUUUUAAUCCACCACAACAACAUAUUCAAACUCUAAAUUAUCAAAUAAUAUAUACAUAAUACAUCGUUGGUAUAUCACAACGUCUUCAUCUACUCGUCAUUAAGAAGUCAACUCCAGCUUUUGGCGUCCGCGUUUAGGACAAUCAAGUCGCAGAUCAGAGAAAAAGGCAUGAGAGAAGUUUGGGAGUUUAUGAAAGUGUUUAAAUUUUUUAAUUCAGCCAAUUCGUUUUAAAAGACUAUGAGCUUUGUAUUUCACUUCAUCUGAAUCAAUAUCCGAAAAUGAAGAAUAAUCUGUAGCCUUAAUCUUCAUGCUCAAGCUUCUGCCACAGCCGCUGCAGCCACUUAAGUGGCGUCCAGCUUUUUGGAUGGCUCGCCAUCCGAUUGCACAAGGCAGUUUGAUGCAGCACCAGAGAAUGCACAGAGGACAAUAGACGCAUAAGCAGCAAACGUUAAACGCGACCUCUGAUGGACCUGUUAGAUCUGCGUUUGAGUUUGCUAUCACGAGCUGAGACCUUGUAGGCGAAACGGAUAUUGGUUUCUUUGCUCGAUUUUCUUCUUGCAUUCCCCCUUGGAGUAAAUUUUUGUGGUCGUUCAUCUUGUUCUUGAAGAGAAAACUCAAAGAUUCUUGAUGGUUUUAAAUGUUAAUGAGUUAUUUCUUAAUGAGGACGGUUCUCGUUUUAUUAAUUAUAUAAUUUUAACACUUGUUAUUUUAUUGGUUUCUUAUUUGAUACUUUCUUCUGUCGCUUUACAAACUAUAUAAAAUUGGAGACGGUUUUACGUGGAAAGACUGACGAAUUAGCUGACAUAAAUAAAAGGCAUCUUAUAAAAUAUAUACAUUUAAGUCAUGUCGCUAUUAUCCCCCAAUAUUGAUAUACAUUUUUGAAUCAUUCAAAACCACUGGAAUUGAAAUUUAUUAAAUAUAAACGUAAACUAGAAUCUGCAAAACCGUGGCCACAAAGAAAACUAUGAUUCACUAACUUUCUCUAUCUUUCGUUUUAGAGAAAUUUCUUUUUAUUUUUUUUCAUUAAAAGUUGCUUUUUAUUUAGUCUUUUUUUGGGGUAAACGCAUCAUAAAUAUCAUAUAGUUUAGUAACAAAUGCACACUAUAUUUCAAUCUUGUUCUAAUUGCAUAAACGAAAACUAAUCAAACUUAUUUAUCUUCAGUUUAAGGUACAAACAAAAACCAGACGAAGCGGUUUACUGUCGGUUUACUGUCGGUUUACAAGGUUUUGGAGUUUUCAAUUUUAGAGUUUGUAAGGAGAAAAAUCGAUUUAGGAAUUAGUUUAGCUUUACCAAAGUUAUAUUAAAGGGUGGAUCGGGUUUGUAGUUGAAUCUCAGGUUCGUACGGAUUAAAAUUAUAUUUUAAUUCCAACUGGUUUGAUAUCGAUUUUGGUACUGAACCAUUAAAACUAAGUCAAACCUUUGUUUGCAUGCAUACAGAUUUAAAUUUUCUGAUAGGGGAUAAUAGAUUAUGAUAUUUGUAAAUGUAUGGAAUUAUGUCAGGUUAAAAAUUAUAUAUAAUUAUUACUAUAUGAUAUUUAUGGUGUAGAAAUAAGUUGUUUAUCCGUAGUUCUUAUAUUAACUUGGUAAAUAUGAAAUGGCAUAUAUAUAUAUAUAUAUAUAUAUAUGCCAACACUUUUUAUCAGUGCAGAUCCGGAUUCAUUUGAAUAUUUCUUAAAUAUCUGAAAUAUCAAAUAGUUUACAACAAAAUGAUGAAAAGAAAAUCUGUAAAAAAAUCUAUACUAUUAUUUAAAAUGCAUAUUUUAAAUUUUUUUUUUGACAGCUGCAUAUUUUAAAAUACAAAUAAAUAAAUUUUUAUUUAUAGUGUUUUGUUCCGAAAAAUAUUUUUCAAUAAACAAGUUAAAAACUGAAUAUUAAAUUCGUAUUUAUAUUAUGUUGUAAAUUUUUAUCACUUAUCUAAUCAAAUAUUUUAAAUUCAUUUUUAUUUUUCAGAUAAUUGUUUAUAUUAAUUUAUAAUUAAUAAUAUAAUCUAAUUCUUUAUUAAGGAUAAGGGUGUCAAAAUAGGUUGAAAUUAAUGAAUUGACCCAAACCAAACCAAUCCAUGGUUCUAAUGGGUUAACAGUUUGGUUAUUAAUGGAUAAAUGGUUUUAUGAGUUAAUGGGUUUAGUGAGUUGGAUUAAUAUUGGUUUGGAUCAAAAUGGGUAUUAUGGGUUAUCCAAUCCAAUCCAAUUUUUUCACAUAAUUUUUUACUCUCUUUCUCGAUCUCACGAGACCUUCAUCAUCGAUCACGACACCAUUCAACCCUUUUGGGUCAUUGAUUUUGGGUUAUCGAUCACAGCACAGCAACUCAUCUUCCUUGUGAGUCAAACUCUAUUUUUCUUCAGUUUUACCUUAUGGGUCAUUGUUUGAUGUACCUUUGUUUUGGGAUCGAUUUUGAAGUGAAUUUUUCUGGGUUUGAAAGUGACUCUCAUGGAAGGAUUGUGUCAUUUUUUGCUGUACCUUUGUUUUUCCUGAGUGAUGAUUGAAGCUAUUCAUGUUUAGUUUCCGAGUCUCUUUGUGAUAUUUUGAUUGUAGAAUGAAUUUUGAAUGUUGCUCUUUUGCAGAUAUCUUCACUACCAAGGAGAUCAAAUAUUAUCCUGUAUGAGAGUUGUUGUCUUUGUUGACAUUCAGAUUUGUCGUUUCAUUAUAUAAGCUCAUUGAUAAGGUCUAUUUGACUAGUUUAUGAAGAAACACUUGUGAACUUUCAAACUUUAUUUUAUUUGUGGUUCGAAGUGUAGAAGCAGGUAAACCGGACUGCAAUAAACGAUAAAAUACAAGCGAUGUUAAGAAAAUAGACGAAUGUAAAAGACGAAUACAAGAACGAUAAGAAAUCGUAUUCACAAAGAGACAUAAAAUCGAGAUAUGAACUCUUUCCUUAACUCAAAAUAUUUGUUCCGUUAGUGACACGGAACUGUACAAAUAUAGAGUCCCAGGAUACAACCAUGGCAGACGAAUCACGCUUCACUCAUGAUCGCCCUAUCGAACUAUAAACUCUACGAAACACUCUCGUAUUUAUAACUUACACUAAAGGAUUUUCACUGUUGGUUUCGAUGUGAAAAAAGUUGAGAAAUGAAGGAAGAGAAGAGGCGAUAUUUAAAGAGACUGAGAAAACCCACUUUUGGCAACAGUUGCUGCACGUGGGAGAGAAUCUCGCAGAGAUCGAGGGAAGUUGAGUUGCAAAACUUAUUCCCCAUGACUCUCUCUUAUCUCGUUUAAAACUUUCGAGAGGAUAAAAUGCAUGACGUUUUUAUUUUCUAGACAAUUUGCUUGUCGUUUUAAAUAAAAUUGCAUGUUGUUUUUUUUUUCGAAAUGAAUGGCAAAACGUUGAGCUUAAAUUGGUCUAAAAAAAUCUUAUUGGGCCAGAGGCCUUCCACCAAGACCCAAGAUCCAAGCCCAAGCCCAAGCCCAAGCCCAUGCCCACACCAAGCUGAGCUGAGAUGAGUCGGCCAGAUGGCGGCGGCGCGCGCGUGGCGAGCCUUCCUCUCUCUCCAAGUUGUUUAACACAUGAUAUAUAAACAGCUCUCUUCCUCUUGUUCCCACCGAUGUAGGACAAGUCCCUUUGUCUCAUUAUUAAUGUUUUUUGGGCUGUUAAACACACAGGCCAAAGUAAUUUGUUUUCACAAUUUUCAUUAAAGCCUAAUGGCUUAUUAAUCGAUCCAACAAUCUCCCACAUGAAUAGAAAUGACUCUUCUAAGCAUAUGCAGACUAAAUGCAGACUCGAUAGACUCUAAAAACUCUACUUAUUCUAAUCUUGACUAGACUAGACAAACUUAUCGAGAGUGUUUGCGAAAAAUUCAUUGUGUUUGAGUUGGUGGCAUUUUUAAGUCUUUAACCACUCAUAGUUAAUAUAUGUCGGGUUUUCUUUACCAGAAGGUGAACAUGAUGUCUUGAACCAACCGGUGUAUUAUGUAGACCGAGACAACAUGCAUAACGCAGCUUCAUUUUCUUGUAGAAGUUAGUUAUCUAUUGUGUUCAUUGUGGCCCUGAACUAUUCCUAGUUUUCAUGAGUGAACUUACAGAAUAUAGCCUUGCAUUCAUUCUCCUAGAAACCGCCCCAUUUCACACUCAUUAGGUGAUUGACGAUGAAAAGUGUUGAGUAAUACUCCGUUUUGGAAGCUAUGGAAUCAUUAAAAACUUAUGCUUAUCCUUCUCACAUUUGUUAGCACUUUUAUCAUCUUAGGAGCUGGGAAGAGACUACUUUCUCUCAAGUGCUUUUGGUUAGAUUCAGUUUGAUUUUGUUUUUUCUUUGAACCUACAUCUUGGGAUCUCCAGUCAUGAUAGGUAGGGUUGUAAUCAAGCAUCCUCAUUCGUUAUAGGCUUUAAACCCAUUCAUUUUGAUGAUUUAGCAACAACAUCUUGUGGCAAACCUUUUGUAAAUGAAUCCGCUAGGUUGUCAGUCGAUUUGGUUUAGUAUAUUGUGAUUACACCAGUUGAAAUAAGUUGUCUAAUGGUUUUAUGUCGUCUUCUGAUGUGACGAGAUUUACCAUUGUAGAGAUUACUCUGAGCCCAAGCUAUAGCUGAUUGACUAUCACAAUUUAUGUGUAGAGCUGGCACAGGUUUCUCCCAUAUAGGAAUAUCUUCCAAAAAAAUUCUAAGUCAUUCAGCUUCUUCUGCUGCUUUGUCUAAGGCUAUGAACUCAGAUUCCAUGGUGGAUCUGGCUAACACUGUUUGUUUGGUAGAUUUUCAUAAUAUUGCUGCUCUUCCUAGUGUAAAGACAUAUCCACUUGUGGAUUUUAAAUUUUUAGAAUCUGAUAUCCAGUUAGCGUCACUGAAUCCUUCUAAACUUGUUGGUUCUUUACCAUAGUGAAGCCCAAAAUCUUUGGUGUAGCGCAAGUAAUUAAGUACUCUCGUUAUAGCUUUCCAGUGUGUAUGACAUGGGUUACUUGUAUAUCGACUAAGUGCGUUUCUUGCAUGCGCUAGAUCUAGUCUCGUACAAUUAGUCAAGUACAUGAGACUUCCGAUCACACGUGCAUACUCGUUUUGUGAAACUGCUCCACCUAAAUUCUUUGUCACGUGCAUUUGAGGAUCUAACGGAGUUUUUGCCGUACUUUUAGAGUAAUUUUUAAAUCUCUCUAAUAUUGUUUGAGCAUUAUAAGAUUGGGUUAAGGUAAUUCUGUUUGAAUUUCUUGUGACUUUAACCCCGAGAAUUACAUAUGCUAAUCCCAAGUCUUUCAUCUCAAAUGUUCCUUUGAGCAUGUUUUUUGUUUGACGGAUAAUGUUUUUAUUGCUUCCAAUAAUGAGCAUAUCAUCUACGUAUAGACAUAGCAAAACAUACACAUUUUUGGUUGUUUUGUAGUAUAUGCAUUUAUCACAUUUAUUUAUUUUGAAACUAUUUGACAUCAUUGUAUUGUCAAAUUUUUCGUGCUAUUGUUUAGGAGCUUGUUUAAGCCCAUAAAGUAACUUCACAAGUCGGUAUACUUUGUCUUCCUGUCCGGGAAUGACAAAACCUUCAGGUUGUUUCAUGUAAAUUUCCUCUUCUAAAUCACUAUUUAGAAAAGUGUUUUUUACAUCCAUUUGAUGGAUUUCUAGGCUCUUAAGGCUGCGAUUGCUAUCAUCAGUCGUAUUGAUGUUAUUCUCGUUACUAGAGAAUAUGUAUCAAAUUAGUCAAAGCCUUCCAUUUGUCGGAAACCUUGAACGACAAGCCUAGGUUUGUAUUUUCCACCAGGUUUUCGUGUCAUUAUCCUUUUAUUUCCUAAUGCUUUGCAGCCAGAUGGUAAAUCUAUUAUGUACCAUGUAUAAUUUUGCAUGAUAGAAUCAAAUUCACUCCUGACAGCUUCGUUCCAAAAUGGAGUUUCAGGUGAAGCCAUGGCUUCUGCCAAAGUUUUUGGAACAUUUUCUACUAAAAAUUCCAUUAGGAAAUCUUGACCAAAAGAUUUUUCCUUUCGAGCUCUUUUGCUUCUUCGAGAUUCAUCUUUUUCUUCAUUUUCUGAAAUAUCAAUUAUAGAAAUAUCGACGAUUGUCUUAGUUUCUGAGUUCUUUUCAUUGUCUCUUUCUUCUCGAGUUCGUUUUGAACCUUGAUUUUCCUUAUAUGAAAAAAUAUUUUCAAAGAAAGAUGCAUUUCUUGAUUCCAUACUGUUUUGCAUGAAAUUCUGAUAUUUCAAAUUUUUGUACCAGAAAUAGAUAAGCAUUACUGUUAUGUGCAUAUCCGAUGAAUAUGCAAUCCACUGUUUUAAGGCCAAUAGUGACCUUUUUUGGUGGUGGUACCGCAACUAUUGCCAAGCACCCCCACACUUUAAGGUUUUUUACGAGGGUAAAUUACCUUUCCAUAAUUCAUAUGAAGUUUUACCAGUUACUUUUUGUUGAAUUUUGUUGAGGAUAUAAUUAGUGGUAAGCAACAGUUCCCCCCCCCCCCCCACAUAUUCUGGGGUAACCUAGAUUCCUGCAACAUUGCAUUCAUCAUCUCUUUUAGAGUUCAAUUUUUGCGUUCAACAUUCUGGUGAGUAAGGAGCUGUAGUUUGCUGGAUUAUUUCAUGUUGUUUACAAAAUGCAUUGAAUGGACCAUCAUACUCGCCUCCUUUGUCGCUUCUAACUACUUUAAUAGUUGUUUUAAUCUGAUUUCGACCUCGAGUUUAAAUUUUUGUAAAUUUUUCUAAGGUUUCAUCUUUGCUAUGUAACAAGUAUACAUAACAAUAUUUUGUGCAAUCAUAAAUGAAGGUCACAAAGUACUUUUUUCCACCUCUAGUUUGUAUGUAUUUUAAAUCACAUAAGUCGGUGUGAAUUAACUCUAGAGAUUUGUUAGUUCUUUCAACACGAGGUGAUGGCGUUUUUGUGAGCUUAGCAUGUACGCAUACUUCACAUUUUUGUUUACUUGUUUUGCAUUUAGGAAUUAGAUUUAAAUUCAUUAAUCUUUGUAUAGAUUUGUAGUUUACAUGGCCUAAUCUUUCAUGCCAUAUAUUAAAAGACUCACAAAAUAAGCAAUUGGCUUCUUAUUCAUUGAAACAUUUGGAGCUACAACUUUCGGAGGGACUGUCAUUACAUUCAUCUUGACAAGCCCCUUUAACAUACCCCUUUCCUAAAUACAUCCCAUUCUUCUUAAUCACGAGCUUGUCCACCUCAAGACUUGUGGCGAAUCCAUUCUUGUUGAGCAAGGUCCCGAGACCAAGUUCUUCCUCAUGUCAGGCACAUGCUUCACAUUCGUCAUAGUGACUUCACG
rnacentral:lncRNA from 1 species